AACUGCCUGAAGGUAUGCCAACUUCGGGAUAUCGCUUUCCACCACAAAUCUGUCCUUCCCUACAACUUGAUCCAGUUCCAGUAGCAGUUUCUUGAGUACACUGGGUUUCCUUAGGAUUUCUGCCAUGCCCCACUCCACAGUGCUUGAGGUUGUCUCAGUUCCUGCAAUAAACAUUUCCUGCCAAAACAAAAAGAGUGAUUAGAUUGAUACUACAUAUAUUACAAUUGAGUUCUAAAUAUAUGUACUUACAGAAAGCAUUCCUUUGACGAUAGAUUUUGGUAAACGGUCCAAACCAUUUUCUUUAUCAUUACUCUCAUAACUCAACAGGACAUCUAACAUAUCCAUUUUCCGUUUGUAGGGUAUCGUCCCAUCAAGUUGAGCUUUUCCCUUCUCAGUCAACCUCUCCUCAAUUAACUUCUCAUAGAAAGCAUCCAACUGACCGAAGAUCUUGUUGAUUUUUCUCUUCAAGCCUUGUGGAUCAAAUGGUUUAACAAUUGGGAUGAGAUCAGAAAAAUUCGGGGUCCCAAUCACCUUUAUCAACUCCCAGAACCUCUCUUUCAUUUUUCUUCCUUCAGGCAUUGAGUUGUCGAAAAGGUCUUUGGAGCAGACGAAAUUACUCACUAGGUUGGCCAGUGCUGUAAAAGCAUAUUCUGCUAUGUUCACUUGAGUGUUGGACUUUGAGACCAAGUACAAAUACUUGAGCAAACCAUGAACCUGUUGAAAAAUACAAACCUUCAGAAGAUUACAUUUAAAAACAAAAAACCUUUACAAAAAUGUAUAAGAUCGAAUUUAACCUGUGAGGUACGAAGUGGCUCAAAUUGUUCAAAGGCCUUAGGAGAAAGUAGUUCGGUGAUCAAGAUCCUUCGAAGAACCUUCCACCUGGGACCAUAGGGCGAGAAAAUGAUGGAAUGGGCAUCAUAAGAGAUGACUCGAAUGGUCUCGGUUAUGGUCCGACUGGAGAACAUCCCUUCCUUUUCCUUCAAAACUUGGGCUGCCAUUUCCGGUGAUGACACCACUAUGGCCGGCUUUAUUCCCAAGUUUAGACUGAAAAGGGGACCGUAGAUCUUGGCCAUGUGAAAGAAAUCUUCAUGGAGACGAUUGGAGAGGUGUGGAAGGCUGCCAAGGAUAGGCCAACCAACAGGGCCUGGUGGUGCAUUCUUCCAGUUUUUAUGUCGACCACCAAACACCAUAGGGAUCAGAAAAUAGGAAGCAAUGGACAUUGCCACUGCCAAGACCAUGGACCCUGAAACACACUCACCAGCGCUUAAGAAGUAAGAAUGCAGCAAAGCCAUAUUGCCAAUGUCACUUCCUCCCUUCCGCCUCUAACUAUAUAUAUAGAUGGAGGAGUGGAGAAGAAGGUUGCUGUGAAAGUGCAAAUAUAUUGGAUCUCUGUGUCUACUUAUUUAUACACAAUGAAGAGCACUAUAUAUCCAAAAAUUUAAAUUUACAUUUCGAUACAUUGAACAUAUGAUUCAGCGAUGAUAUUGAUGAACUUGGAUACUCGAGCGUUACAAUUUGGAUAAAUGGGGAUGGAAUCAAAAUAAUUUACAUUGUUUCUGGCGUACGUAACUGCUUUUCUCAACAAACUGCUAAAGCCUUUUUGUCAUGACAUGAAGAAUCUGAAACUUUCCCAUUACUAGCUUUGUAAGAACAUAUAUCAGAAGGGUAAUAUGACAAGGAUGUAUUUAUGGCCAAAUUAAUGCAUGACAAGAAUUCAUUACUUGCAUUACUUUCAACACACAGAUGCUCUGCUCUCAAUUUUAUAUUCACUUUCAACUUGCACACACUUCAAACUUUUUUAUUUCUACUACGGGUUAGUGUUUAGUACACUAGUCUCUUCUGUGUCAUAUUUUUUUUAAUAUUUUAUACUAUAUUUGUCAUCACCCUAAUUUUAUUUGUGAAAUUUAAAAAGUAGUGAUACCUUUUUAUUUUUAUUUUUUAUCUUUAAUUGGGAAGGAUAGGAAAAUGUUAUUAUCAUUUAUUACACUUAUCUAUUUUUUAACUUUAAUUGGGGAGGAAAUGACUUAGGAAUACCAUUUAUUACACUUAUUUAUUUUUUAACUUUAAUUGGGAAGGAAAUGACUUUUUAUAGAAAAAUAUUAUUAGGAUUGCCAUUUGUUACACUUAUUUUUUUUUAUUUUUUAACUUUAAUUGGGGAGGAAAUUACUUUUUAUAGAAAAAUAUUAUUAGGAUUACCAUUUAUUACACUUAUUUAUUUUUUUAACUUUAAUUGGGAAGGAAAUUACUUUUUAUAGAAAAAUGUUAUUAGGAUUACCAUUUAUUACACUUUUUUACUUAUUUUCUAACUUUAAUUUACUUUUUUUUCAAAUGCAAGUUGAAGUUUUACCAUUUGUGAAGUAUAAAAAGAGAGAGAGAAAAAAAAAAGGAGAUUUCUUAGACAAGAAUUUUAAGAGUAAAGUUUUUGUUUUUGAGUUAGUGUAAAAUUGUUUAAUUUGUUAAAUAUAAUUUGUUGAGUGUUAAUUUUGUUAUCUCUUUUCAUGGAGAUUUCUCUUCGUGUUUAUAAAGCAUGGUUUAUUGAUGUGAUGUAUUAGGAGUAAGUAGACACCAUGCGUAGCGGCACGUUACCCCUAGCGAUGACACGCAUCCUUAGGUGCUCACGGGAGGAUGUUGACGAGCAAGACAUUGGUUAUUCAGACUAUACGUUGUGGACUAAAAUAACUAGCGAGCACGCAUGUCCUAAAUAACGAAAAGACGAGCUGGAUGAUGGUGAGAGGUGGCGUACUUUAUAUUUUAUACAUAACAUAAUUAAUCAUGAAUUUACAUCAAAUCAAUUUUAAAAUCUACAUUAAAUAUUAAAAAGAUAAUAAACAAAAAAAGCAGAAAUACAAUAGUAAAAAAAAUCAAACUCGAAUAGUAAAUAAUGCAUUAAACCUUGAAUAUUUGAAGGUAAAAUAAACAAGUAAAAUUUCAAACAAUUAUUUAAUUUUGAAUAUAUAAUUUUCAAACCAUGUUCAUGAAAGAAACUGAUAACUUGCUGAUAUAAAAUUAAAAAUAUGUUAUUACUAAAAAUAACAUAUUAAUUAACGUUAAGUAUAAUGCAAAUGCUUUUCAAAGAUAGGCCUAAUGGAGGCCCACCCAUCAAAUCUUGUACAUCACUUCUUUUAGUUUUCUUCCUUUUUGUUUCCAAGUAUACAAUUUACUGUAAAUAUUGAAAGUGUUUGUUGUUUGUUUUUUUCCGGGAAAAUAUAUUCCCGUGAGGCGAUAAAUAAAAAACAAAAACAAAAAGAAAGAGGGAAAACGUUUGGUCUUUUCCCUUUUUUUGUGCUAUUUAUUUUUGUUAAUAACUUACUAAGUAUCAUAUUUGUUUACUUCUUUGCAUAUAUUUUUUUUCUUAAAAAAGAUCAAUAUGACCAUUUUUUAAUUUAUUAAAUUAUUAUAUUUAUAAAAAAUCAGAUGAAAGUAUUUUAAUAAUGUGGAAAAUUUGCUAGCAAGGUUUUAGUAAGUCGAGGUUCUUGGACUUUAAAUAUUCAGGUUUGGAUCAUGUGAGUUUUCUUUUAAAUUAUUUGCUUAUGUGUUGAGCGUUUAUUCGGAAAAUGAGAAGAUUUGGAUAAAAUAUAAAUCUAGAAGAUGAGUUUAAACAAAAAAUAUUACCCAUUUUAAAAAUGGAUUAGGUUUUGGGUAAGUUUUUUUUUUCGCCUGGCCCAAAUUUUCAAUAAAAAAAACCCUUAUUGUUUUCUCACUUUUUGCCAUUGUUUUGUUUUCUCACUAUUAUGUUGCUAUUAUUUUAUUAUUAUUAUUUGGAUAUAGUAUAACACUUAUUUUAUUGUCAAUUUUGCUACUAUUUUAGAGGCAUUUGUUUGUUCAGUUGCACUUAUUUAAGUAUACAGACUUUUUUAAAUUUAUUUUUAAUUUGUUAAGAAACUUUUAUUUUAAUAUUUUUAGUGUACUUUUAUAUAUAUUAAAUUUUUAAAAAAUUAUAUAAAAAAUUAAUACAAGCCAAGCUCAGCUUGGCAAAAAUUUUGACCUAAUUUUUUAUCUAGGCCUAACAAUCGGGCUUAAAAUUUUGUUAGGGCGCAACCCGACUAAUCCAAAUAUCUAUAUAUUUUAUUUUUAAUAUGUUGUAUUUUGUAUUAAGUUUAUUUUAGUUUUAUUUUAUUAAACAUGUAUUGUCGGUGAUUUGUGCUAUUCUUAUACUUGUGUUUGUAAACUUCUUUUUAGAAAAUCCUAUAAAAUAAAGCCAUGUGUUUUUUUUUUCUUUUUACUUGUGACUAUACAUGUAAUUACUUGCGUUUUAUAUAAAUCAUCACAAUUAAUUUUUUAAAUAUAGUUGAUAAUCGUAUUAAUUUUUUAAUUAAUACAAAAUUUUCAUAAAAAAUGUUGAAUAAGAUAACUAUUUAUCACUUUCGUUUAAAAUAUUAAAUUGAUUUUUGAAAAAUAUUUUUGAAAAAAUUGUAUACCAAACAACUUUUUGAUAUAAAAUAAAAUAAAAUAUUAUAUUAAAAAGAUCAAAUUUAAGAGAUAAAUAAUUUUAAAAAAUAAAUUUAUUUUUAUCAAACACAUAAUUAAGUUCGAUAUUUAAAUUUAUUAAUAUACGAAACAAGUUUUUGAUAUAAAUUUAGUACUUAUAAAUUUGAGUACUAAAAAAAAUUAACAAUUUGUUUAUCUCAUACAAAAUUUUGUUUAAAUAGAGCUACCUAAAUAAAAACGUUUUAUUUGUUCACUUGGAGAUUCAAACCCAAAUGACGAAAAAUAUAAAAUAUGAAAAAAAAAACGUUUUUUUAUGCUUUUUUAUAUAAAAUAUGAAAAAAAUAUUUUUUUUGAAUAAAUUUUUGUAUGUAAUUUUAAAGAAAAAUGACGAAAUUAACAAAAACUAAUCACAGCAGGAAGGGACAGAAUACAACCCAAAUGAACGAGGCUUUUUUAUGGUACUCGAAACCUUUGCAUUCUUCACUCUCUCAAACGCUUUGUAUCUUCUCUCAUUUCUCUGCAAUGCCAAGCGAUUAUUCAUCUACGGGUUUUUCUUUUCAGAAGAUGGGGAUUCUCAGUUGGACGGUAUUUCGGUUGGGAUUGAUUCUAAAGCGUCGGAAGCUCACUCUUUCGAGGUCAGACCCUGGAGAUGCCAAAAAUGAUGAGGAGUUAGAAAAUGUAUUGUCUUUAUUGCAAAGUAGACUUGAUGGGUCAUUGGAUUCAAGUCUUGAUGCAAUAGCUUUGGGUUUGCACGAGGGUUUUGUUGUCAAAGUUGCUCAAACACAUUUAUUAUGGGUGAAAAUAUGAUUCGAUUUUCCAAAUGGGUAAUGAAGAAACCAGGGUUGAAUCACUUGUCAAGGUUGUGAUAUUAGGAAGAGGAAUGCUUACGUCUAUCAAAGCUCUAUUGCAUUACAAUGAAUCAAACAUACUGUUAUUAUUUCACUAUCAAGGCUCCAUUACAUUACAAUGAAUCAAACAUGCUGUUAUUAUUUCACUGUCAAAGCUUUAUGUAUGAUUGAUCGGGCUUGGUCUGUAUGUGAAAGAAUGCUUGAUGGGGACAACUUUCCGGAUGGUGGGCAAGUGGGAAAGAUUAUAACUUGGCUUUUGUAAAGGGGGAAAAGCUAAAAAUGCUCACUUGUUGGUUGAAGAGAAAAACAAGCAGUCGCCCCAAUCUUCUAUUAAUUGUUUGAUCAGUUCACUUUGUAAGAGGGAUGAAACGUGAAAUUAGCUUUGGAGAUGUUGGAUAUUGCAAAAUUUAAGAACUAGACAAGGCUUUGAAGUUUGAAGCUAUUGGCUGAGAUGAAGCAUUUUUUGGGUCCUCCGUACUGUUGAUGAAUACAAUAAAUCGAUCCAGUCUCUUUGCUUGAAGGAUUUGGAUUGGCAAACUACUCGAUGGCUUGUAUCUCCUUAUAAAGGCUGUUAAGGAGCUGGAAACAUAGGAAUUGAAUAGCAGAGAAGCAAUCACUGAUGUUUAAAUCUCUGCUGAUUUUAGGAAAUGGAUGUACAGUUCUGAUAUCCAAGCAUUUGAUAGGAAUUUAAUUUAAUACUUAGUAUAACUGAAUCUUUUCUUAUAAAUGUUACAAAUAUAUAUAUAUAUAUAUUAGCUAAUUACAAACUUUUCUACUUGAAAAACCUCUGGAGAAAAGAAUUUGUAGCAAAUUAAUCAAGCUGCAAUUUUAUAUCUGCAUAUCACCUUACACUUUAAAACCCUUCCCUGAACAUAAAAACCUGGCAUCACCAUGAUCUUUACUCGGUUGGGUCCAUGAGAUUUUUGCCUUUCCAUGAGCAUAUCUUCCAUGUAAUGUGGAUCGAAGGUUGUAUUUUCCUCCACCCUUAAAAUCCCCAGUGGAGGAUUGAAUGAAAACGCAAGCAAAUGCAGCAACCAUAUGCAUUUGGCUGCAACAAAGAAUGCUUGAAGCAACUGUUGAGGCCAUGGUCUAGUCCAAUUCAAGGUUGAAAUGAUCAAACUCAUCUUCUGAUCACAAAACUUGCUGAACUCUUCACUGUAGCAUUUAGUCCCUGUCCUCAGCACUUCAUUCCAGCUUAGAUUUCUAAGCCCAACAAACGAUGAGAAUUGAGCUUGGCGAUUUUGUUGAGGGUCCAGCAGCUUUGGUGACCCAUUCUUCUGAAACACACAGUUCUCAAAGUCCUGGUAGAAUGAUUGGUUUAUAAUUGCUUCCAAAUGGUAUGACACUGCCUUAGAGUACUUGGAAUUCAAUGAAAGUUUAUAUGGUCGAAGAAGAGAAUUCAAAUUCUCCAUUAAAGUAUUAUCAGUCUCUUCAAUCUGUCCAAUAAGUGUUUUGCAGAAUUGGUUCACUGACAAUCUUGCUUCCGAUACAAUCUGCAAGAAACCCUCUGCCAUUACCUCCUCACUGACUGGCAUCAAGUUUUCUUCAUUCCCAUCUAUGCCUUUCCCCUUCCUAGGAUAAUUUCCUAGCUUUUCAUUGAUUUGAGAAUCCUUUGUUUGCGUUGCUUGCCUCAAUGCCUUCUUGAGCUCUUCGCAAUACGUUUCCAAAUACUCCAGCUUCUGCUUGAGCUCUCCUAGUGAAGAUCUCACCUCAGCAACUUCCAUCAAGGCUGCAUCUCUACUCUCAUUCGCUUCUAACAACUCUUUCUUCAAUGUUUCAAUCGACAAUAUGCCAGAGUCCUUCAAUAUUUGAGAAACUUCCUCUGAUUCUGUUCGGUUAGGCGAACUCUCAUUCUUCUGUUUCUUUUUUAACCGAGGGAAUAACCGUGAAAUCACCCCACGAUUCCUGGGUUGUGAUUGAACAGAUGAAUGGGAUUCUGAUAGUGGCACAACGGGAUCCAAAUUCUUGACCGGCCUGGUGACAUUCUCGGAUUCAGAUGUUAUAACAGCAGGCUUGCAUCUAUUGCAAGAUGAUACUGACUUGAAAUCCCCCAUACUGUUUCUCCUACUUCUAGUGGAGGGUGAUGUUUGUAGGACAGUUAUGUGGUUUGCACAAGAGCCAGUGACAGACUUUUGGUCUUCAGCAGGACAAAUAUGGGAUUCUAAGGCAGGAGAAAAUCCCUUUUGCUUAUAAUCUGAUAAUCCAGUUUCAGUGCCAUAUUUAUCCCAACUUUCAGAUAAAGCUUGGUUAUUUGUAUGAUAUCCAGAUAGUGGUUCAUCUUCAUAACUCUAUCAAAUAUUCCCAAAAGGAAAUGAGUAACGAUAAGCAUAACCAUUGACAAUGAGGUUAAAAUCAACUUAAAGAAAAUGUGGAAUUUAACAAAAUUACAAGCAAUGAAGAAGAAGAAGAAGAAGAAUGAGGCUAAAUUUCUUGUGAAAAGGCUCCUACUAAUUACUAAGCUAACAAUGAUCUAGAGAGUCAACUAGCCAAAACUUAUCAAGAGAAUUCAACAGGGAAAAGAAAGUCAACAUAGACUAUAUUGAUGCUGAAGUUAAUUAACUUUUUUAAUUAAAUCAUAAAACUUAGAAUUCAAUAAACAAGGCAGGCAUCAACUUGAUAGCAACAAAGGUUACCAGAAAAAAGAUACAUAAUUUUAGCAACUGAUUAAGAAAAAAGAAAAAAGGAUAUUAACUUACGGGAGUGAAAACAGGGUAAUCUUGAGCAGAGAAAAGAGGAAAAGGGCGUGAAACAGGGGAGGAAGAAGAAGAAGAAGGGUAUCUGAGAUUUGGAGGGUAGUUUCCUUGCAUGAGAGCUGCAUGUAAAGCUCUGAGCUCCACAGCCUUGGCGAUGGCGGCUUGUAUCUCUUGCCUGCUAACUUCAACGCCAUUGUUAUCACUGUCACGGUUUUGAAAGACUUGUGAAACAGUAGCUGCAGAAGCAGCAGCGGCCAUGAAUCGAGGAUGAAACAGCGCAGCACAAUACACCCAAAGAAUAGAAGAAAGGAUGAAUCUUGUUGUGAAUUGGAAUGACAGAGAAAGAAGGAAGAGGGUAAUGAAGGGUUGGAUUUGAUUUGCAGAGUGGAAGAUGAUAUCCAGCUUAGAAACUUGAAGAAGCAGAAAGUAGGAACAAGGAAACAAAGAGACAGAGAUGAAUGAACGGAUGAAAGUAGAGGAAAUAGGGUAUUAGAAAUCCAAUGUGUGCUUUUGUCUUUGUUGACAAAGAAUAAAUAGAUAGAAUGAGCGUGAAUUGUGAGUGAGAGAGAAAAGAGAGUAGUAGUCGUAGGCUUCACUCAAUGGACUGUAUAUUUGCCGUUUCCAAAAAUGCCCUUACUAAUUCUAUCUAUGGUGGUACCACACCACUUCGCUCCUACUUUGGUUCUAAGUACAUACAUCUUCUUACCCAGUUGAUAAAAUCCCUUUUUUCUUUUCAUGCGUGAUAAUAUUUUAUGAUUUAUGAAAAUUAUUUUUUUUAUACUUUUAUUAUGUUAAUAAAGCAAAAACAUGAAAACUGUUUUUUUUUGUUGGAACUAAAAAUUAUUAAUUUAUAAAAAUAGUAGAUAUAUAUGAUCAAUUGAAUGAUAAACUAUCAUAAUAGUCACUUUUGUUUGACUCAGGUUACAUUUUAGUCAUUUACGUUAUCGUAUUGUAUCAUUUUAAUCAUUGAGUCGUUAAUUGCCAUUAAUAGUAUAACGAUAAACUGAUGUGAUUAUUUUAAAUAAAAAAUUUAGGUUAAUUUAUACAAAUGGUCCUCUUAUUUGUUCAUUUUGAGCAAUUUAAGUUUUUUCUUUUAUGUUUUUUAACUUUACUUUUUUUCUUUAUUUUCUAUUAUCUUUUGUUUCUCCUUUUGUUUUCCUCUCUUCUCUAUUUUUUUUAACAUAAUUUUUCUAUGUUUUCCAUUUGUUAAAACUAGUCCCUAUACUUUUAUUUUUUUGAACAAUUUAAUUUUUUUGAGUGAAGCAAGCUUGUGGACUAAUUUCAACAAAUGAAAAACAUAAAAAAAAACUAUGUUAGAAGGGAGGAAAACAAAGGGAGGAGCAGAAGAAAAUGGAAAAAAAGUGAAAGUUAAAAGAACAUAAAAGAAAAAUUAAAUUACUCAAAAAGAAAAAAUAUAAGAACUAAUUGUAGAAUUUAACCUAAAAUUUUCGUUUGAAAUAAUGAUUUAACGUGCUACAUCAGCUUACCAUUACACUGUUAAUGGCAAUUAACGGCUUAGUAACUAAAACGAAACAUUUCAAACAAAAGUGAUUAUUUUGAAAUUUACCCUAAAUUGAAAGUGAUUGAUUGGUACUUAAGAUUAAUGGUUGGAAUGCAAAUCAUUGCUCCCUCUCAACUCAACCUGUCUUCCACUUCCUUUUUAUCUCUUUGUUGUGAGUAAGACAUUUGAAGUUUAUUCUUUAAAAUGGAAAUACAAAUGCAACCAAGUGUCGGAGUGUAUUUUCUUUGUUACAUAAAUUAUCAAAGUAAAAAGAGCUCGUCUGCCUAGCUGUCCAAAUGCAAUUUUUUUUUUGCCUCAAGGCCUACAUUAUUUACUUUUUAAGCAUAAACAUAAAUAAUAUAUAUUUUUAUAAAAAUAAUCUCUUUUAAAAUUUAUUCAACAAGUGGAGUAAUAAAAACGUUUAUAUAUAAAUCUUAUUAAAUUUUUUUAAUUAAAGAUUGUAAAAAUAUAAAAAGACAAAAAAAAUUCAUCCUCUUAAUAUUAAUUAUCUUUUUACCUAUAAAUUAAUACUUGAUUAAUCUAAUCAGAUGUAAUAAAUAAGAUUUGACAAAUAAAUAAAAAAUUAAAACCCAUUUCUAAGGAGAUUAGAACUUACUUUGGAUAAUUUGUUCCAUCUUAGUAACUUCUUUACUUCAAAUUCAUCUAAGUCGGCUUAAUUCUAAAGAAUAGAAUUUAUAAAGAGAUUUCUUUGCUCUGAAAUAAAAUGAAAGCAACUUGAAAAGAUAAAAGGUCUUGAAUCGAACAGAAAAACUACAAGAAAAUAAUAACACACCAAUUGUUUGAGUAAACGCUCUCAAAAAUAUUCAAUAACUAUGAAUGGAAUGCAAGGUAUGAUUAUAAAUGAGGGGAAAACAUCUAUUUAUAAUUGAGCUCCCCAGAUUCAAUAGUAUAAAUUGAAUUAUAUCAACGAUUAAAAUUAGUGUCUACCUGCAAGAUAAAAGUCCUAAAUUAAAGAUUUAAAUUUUAUUUAAUCUUAUCCCUUGAUUUACAUUAACUACGACAAUUCUAGUUUUGUUGGAGUAUUCAUCAUGGACUUUAAUCCACAACUUGUGACACUAGUAGAUGCAAAUAAUAAAUAUGAAAAUUUUGUAGAUUUACAGAAAAAAUAAAAAUAAAUUAUAAAACAAGGUUGUAAUGUUAGGAGAUAUCUUUUAUCAAAGUGAAUAGAUAGCCGCUCACCUUUUUAAAAGGUGAAAUCAAUUUCUAACACUGGUAUACAUUUUCUUUUUUUUUAUUGUUUGUAUGUACAACAUAAACUUGUUAUUUCGUCCAUCUCAUAAUUGUAAAUUGAAAAAAAAAUUAAAAUUAAAAAUCUAAACCGUGAAGACACACAUACAACCGUAGCUAUUGUAUAUGAUAUGACUUGGUUGAGGUUUGAUAUUCUAUUUAGCCACGUAUGUUUUACCUUAGCCUCAUAAUCAAACAAGUACUUUCUCCCUUGCACAUGAUCGCAGGAUUUUGUAAAGAGUACUACUUUCUAAACUCAAAUAAAUAAAAAUGCCCACCAAUUUGAGGACCAAAUAGCUUAACAUCAUUUAUUUGAAAGCAUGUGAUCAAUCACUUUUCCUUACAUGGCUUAACACUCACUCAAGUUAUAGUUGACCUUCCGUCAUGCACCACACACACACAAAUAAAUGGGGGAAAAAACAAAUCCAUCCAAAUAUAUAAAAUUACCAAGUAAAAGAGUCUGAAUGGACGACGAGAGGAUGUGAAUUCAGCCAGCUGCCAGCUGCAAUAGUUGGAGAACAAGGAAAAUAGCUUCCUUAAUGGGUAGAGCCUGCCUAGAAGCUCCACCAAGUUGGGGUGGCUGCAUUUGAACGAAAUGGAAAACAACAUCAAACACUUACCAGUCUCGUCUCUCAAGUCAAGAUACCAUCAUUUGUGGUGUGGAGCUAAGCCAUCGGUGUUGAAUUUGAACCACCUAAAAUGCGAAAUUAUGCAUUAUUUUAAAGUUUGCUUCAAUAAGUCCAUGCUUAAUAUUACUUUACAUCAAAUUCCCACUUCACCUUUAACAAAAAAGAAAAGAACACCGAGUCUCUCAGCAGUUGAACAUUCAUCUCCAAGUCCUUGCCACUAAAAGAUGACUUCACUUCGGUGAAGCCAAAUUCACCAAACAACGACGGCAAAACCCAUGCAGCACAUUUCCUUACACUUCAAGCCAAAAACUAAGUGACAGCACAUCUUGGAAUGGAGUGGAGUGGGUGACUGGAUGCUCCAAGACUAGGGUUAAUGCAAUGUACUCCAAAAAUCUCAAAAAAGUUAAAAGAGGCCAAGAUACCUACAAAAGAAAUAUCAGAGUCUAAUUUAGGUGUCAUACAAAAAGAAACAAAAGUCAUUCAGCUGCAAUUAUUUUAAUUAUUACAAUGCAUUAUGUAAGAUUUUACAACUUAUAUAAUUUAGUGAUAGAUGCGACUGAUAAUUGUAAAGCGAUUGUUACGACUUAUGAGUAAUGAAUUUUCAUUUUUGAUAAAAAUAUAUUUUUUUUCAUAAGUAUAUAAGAAAAUGUAUGAUGAUUUAUUUAGUCCUUCAACUUUAUAAAAAAAUUAUUUUAGCUCAACAUUUAAUUUUUUAUUUUUUUUAGCCCUUGACCUUAUAUUAUUUGUCAAAGCAUCCCAAAAUAGAUAAAAAGUUAACGUUUGUUAACCUUACUGACGUGGCAUCUACAUGGUAGCCCACGUUUAUACCACGUUAACAAUUAAUUAAUUUUUUUAAUUAAAAAUAUUUUAAAAAUAAAAAUUAAUAAAAUUAACAUGUGAGGUUGUCUUGUCGUUCAUAUCGUAUCUCAUGAACUAUGAACUUUAUUGGUGCAUAGUAUGUUCAACACGUAAAGCUUUUUCAAUAUACCUUACUCAAACAGAUGUUAAGCUCUCUUGAUGCAUGUACAGGACGUGGAAUUUCACCAGAUUUAGGCAAGUCCAAUCGUUGUAUGGCUAGAAAGUUGCCUUGUCACUUAAGCAAACCAUGAUUAAACUUACAUGAACGCUCGUAGAGGAUCGAAAAACCAGCUCUACCUAUAAAGAUUCGUCGACGUAAGACUCUUUUGAUCCAAAACUAGAGGUGUCCAUGGCCGCCCGGCCCGACGGCCCGCCCGAAAUAUGGGAGGGUUCGGGUAAAAAUAUAAGUCCGAAAUAUGGGUUUGGGCAAAAAAAUGAGGCCCAUUUAGAAAACGGGUUGAGCCUCAGGCACCACUUUUUUUUGCCGGGCUCGGCCCGACCCAGCCCGAAUUUAAUAAAAAUAUAUUUUUAUUUUUAUUUUUUAUUUUUAAAAUAUUUUUAAAAUACUUUUUUUUAUUUUUUAAAUUAUUUUUUGGUGUUUAUUAAAAAAUGGGUCGGGCCGGGCUCGGGCUUAGGAUUUUAUUCCUGGGCCGGGCCUGAACAAAAUUCUAGGCCCAAAUUUCGGGCUUAGCCGGGCUCGAGCCUAGGAGGCGGGCAGAAUUUUUUUUGGGCCGGGCUCGGCCCUUGGACACCUCUAUCCAAAACUUACCAAACCUCUUUAACCGUAAGACUCCCUAUACAAUCAUACUUUCACCUUCGUGUAGACUAGUGGCUAAAUCAAAAAAAUUUUUUGAAGGAAUCGAAAUUAAAUUGUAUAUUUUUAUAAUAAUAAAAAUAUAAUUUUACUAUUUUAAUAGUCUAUAUUUUUAUUUUUUUUAAAAGACUAAAUCAAUUUUUAUUAUUUUUAGAGGUCAAAAUACAAUUUUACAAUUACUAAUUUAUAAAUUUAUAAACUAUAAGAGACUUAAAUGAAAAAUUUUUUAUUUAGCACUAGUGUAAACAGUUACUCUCCACAUUCUUCUCCAUUUGCUCCUCAUAUAUUUCAGUAAAAAUAAUAAUUUCUUUUAGAUGACUUUAUUAUAGUUUUACAUAAUCAUAUUCUCACCGCUAUGUAGACUGCUAGACUCACAUAUACACGAUGCGAGUGUGAAAGAAAAUUAUGUAAAAUAUAUUCCCGUAUAAAAGCAAAUGCAUAUAUUCAAUUUCAGUAUUAGACACCUAAAGUGGUGGGGCUUAACUUACCAAGAGAGGAAAAUUGGAAGGGCCAGCAGAGAGCACAUACAAACCAAAUUAGUUGAAAAUAAGAUGUGAAGCCAUUUCGGGACUUUAAUUAAUGGGAGAAAGGGAAAAAAAACACACUAGUAAACAAAUUUGAAUGAAUAUCGGUGACGGAUGAGACGAGUGUCACUAAAUGUUCCACGAUUGAUGCCCGAAAAAUGGUAGGCAGGUCCCCCACCCCCAUGUCUUGUUCCAUCAACUUAAUGCCACAACUAAUCCAUAGAAAAAGGUGUGCAUACGGUGGAGCAUUUGCCACCUAUCACACUACUGGAUCAUACAUAUAUAAUAACCAAAAAAAAAUUUUGUGAAAAAUAUAAUAUGAAAUUUGAUAAUAAAAAAAAGGAUAAAAACAAUGUGAAAAAGUAAUACAAAUUAUUAGAGUGUUAAAAAAAAUUUAAUGUAAAAGAAAUCGAAUAUUAGAAUAUACAAAAGUUAAUCCAAUUUUAGUUUGGUUAUACCCAAACUCAAGAUGAUUAUGACAAGCACUUACCAAUUAGGGGGAAUUCGUGAAAAAAUUUAAAAGAUGAACUUAAGACAAAUAAUGUGCAUUGGAAAAAUGCAAGCAUGCGUGGAAACAGGGUCAUGGGGAGUUAGUUUCGGCGGCAAAAUAUAUGUAAAAAAAAAAUCCUACAUAAAACAUAACCAUUACACCAUAAAAAUCAUUUGGUUACUAUACAGCUGGAUCAGUUCUUCUACCAUAGCAUUUAUCAAUAUCUGCUUCAGCUAGCUAGCUCUGAGCAGAUCUUCUUGCACUUCCAAUCCACAUAAUAAAUGCCUCACUGAAUAUCUUUUUUUUUAAUCAAGUUUUUUGAGCGCAAAAGACCGACCUGCUUUGCUAGCUUUCGUAUCUGCUUUUCUUUUUGGGAAGUAAUAUGGUUGUUGUAUGCAUAAAAACAUAAUAAUCAGUCAAAACAACCACAAAGUUCCCUUUUAUUUACUUUAUAUAUUAUUGCUGCCGCUGCUGCUGCUGCUGCUGCUGCUGUGCGGCACAAGAACACUUUGCACGACUAUCCGACAGUGACUGAAAAUAUUGAAACAUGGAAAACAUGACGAAAUGAAUGAAUCUAGAUCGUACGCAAUGGGUUAAAAUAAAUUUGUAGGCGUCCGAAUUUUGUGGUUCAAGAGAUUAAUGGCAACAUACCUUGACCUGUUUCUGGAGGUCUUUGAUGUAAUCAACGGCCAAAUCUAGCAUGUCUGCAGUGUUUGUUUGCUGCAAAUAUGAAAAUAAAACGUGGGGUUAUGUUUUUCUUUACCAUAGCAGGAAGCAAAUCUUGAAAUGAAGAAAUUGUUGUACCUUAUCCAUGUUUGGAACAAGGUCUUGUAGUUUCCUCAUUCGCUCGCUUAUUUUGGUUCUUCUCACCUGAACAUCAAACAUAAUUUAAAGUUAACAUCUUAGGUUUUCUAUUUUCAGCAAACAAAAAGGUCAUUAACUUGCAUGUAAUGUCAUUAAUUAUGUGUAUAUAUAAAGAGAGACAAAGAGAGUAGGAAUUUACAAAACUAAAGUUAUUAUCUUGAUUUGAAUAAAUUGAAAAUAUUCGAUAUAUGAAACUUUACCUGUACAAUUCAAUAGACCACACGUAUACAUGCAAACCCUAAGCAAAAUGAAAUAAAUGGGAAAAUAAAAGGAAGGAAAAAGGUUUAAAGAUUACCCUCUCAGCAAUGCUUCUAGGGUGAGUGGCACAGCCUCUUUUGGCCCGGAUCUUACAAGGAACAGAAUCCUGAUACUGCAGGAACUUCUCAAUGGCAGACAUAUCUGAACUUUUUGGUAAACUCAAGUGAUGAGCCAAAAGUGGCGGCGGACGAUGGUUGCCGCCAUCUGCAUUCUAUCAAAAAAAAAAAAGGAAUUACAAUGAGAUGAGAAUAUUGUUGAAUGUAAGAAAAAAAAGUGAGAUUGUGUUAGAGAUGUGGCACCUUAGUUUCAGCUCCGUCUAAGCCAGAAAGUGAUCUAUCAUCUUCCCUCAGUCUUUUUAUGCCUGACAUGUUAUCAGAAAUCAUCAUGGAAUCGUCCCAAGAAGUAACCGGGAGCCCUGAGGAAUAAUUGUUGGGACGAUUUUCACCAAAUCCAGCAUUUUCGGAGCUAAAUGGACCCAUACUUUUGUUCCCCAUCUCCGCAAUUGGAGUCAUCAGCCCAGAGGGUGUAGGUGGCCUGCUUGCUGAACGAAACGUUGCUUCUCUGUUACUGCUAUUAACGCUUCCAUAAUCUCCCAUUCCCCGCAUCACUCCGUAGCCUGCAACUUUAUUACACUUCCACAGUCAUUCUCAGCUUUUACACACAGGAAUAUCUCCCCAAAUUCUCAAGGCUAAUGGCAAAAAAGAAAAGAGAAAAAAAAUACCACUUGUAACAAGUCAACUCAGAACAAAUGGAAUUGACAAUCAUAUUUAUCAAAUCCUAAAAAGAGAACAAAGAAAAUGGUGAUUUUAAUAUGAUUGGUUUAUAUAGUAUUAAUUGAUUAACUCCUCGUCAUGCUGCUUCGUUUGAUUGGUCUAGUAGAUUAAAAAUUUCAGCCUUUUUUUUCCCCCAUAAAAGAGUCAAUUAUGAGCUCAUUUUACUGAAAGAAGCUUUUUCCGCUGAUUAUUUCUUAAAUUUUAAAUGAAAUCCCACUGGUCAAUGGAAGGUAACAGAAGAAAAAUAAUAUUCUGGAAAGAAGCCCCUGUGACUUUUCAAUAUUUUUCUUCAUUAACCGGGAAAUCGAAAGAAAAGAACCGAGUAAAAAACUUGAUGAAGAAUGUAUACCUAAGGACAGAGCCACUUACUGUUUUCAAUGUUAAUUUUGGAGAAUAACCCUGCAGGUGAGCUACUGUGUCUAAUAAGAUUGGAAUUGUUGCCUCCACCCAUCUUCAUCCCCGUUGGAUUUGGAGUGGUGUAAUCCAUAGCUGAAGCUGAUGGUUGCUGAUUUAGCAAAUACUGUGGAGGUUGGCUUUGAUAAAAAUUCUGGGAAGCAGAGGAAUAUUUAGGCUGCUGCAUAAGCCCUGUUUGAUUAUUAAUUGGCGUCAUAAUCUGCGCUGACUGCUCGAUUUUCACAGGUGUUUCUCUAACAGGUGAACUCUGCGUAGCGGUGCAAAGAUUCUGCGAUGGAAUGGUUUCCGUAUUAGCAUCACCGCCACCGGCAGCAUCACCGCUACUCGACAAAAACUUUGCGAUGAUUCGUUCUGUUUCGGGACUGGAAGGUCGAUUUAAAAUCUCUUGGCAGAAAUCUCUGUCCAGAAUGUUGGAAAAAUACGAACUAGGUGCAGAUUGGUACCUCGUCAACCCAGAGUUCAUCUGUUUUUGAUUGUGUUGAGAUUGAUGAUAGUCAAAGAGAUUAUGGUGGUGGUGGUGUUGAAGAUCUGACUCCAUUUUCCUUUCCAAUUUCUAUUUCUAAAACAACUCUAGCCACCAAGAAUUUUGAAAACCCCCAAUUAGAUUUUAUUUUUUUUGUCAAGGGGAUUUCAAUCAGAUCGAGUUGAAGGACCCACUUAGAAAUAACCAAAGCCUCUGUUUGUUUCCCAAGAAAGUAGCUCUAGAAAAACUUUUCUCAGAAAGCUUCAUCUAAUACAACAAAGUGAUCGCCAAGGAACACGAACUAUUUUUAUGUGGAUCUAUUUUAAGAGUUUCAAAGUUGAAUCCCAAGAAUUUGAUUGGCUUGAAACACAAGUUCUCCCUCUGCUAGGAUAUCAGAGACGCUGCUCCAAAAGCAGAGGAAAACAGAGACACAGAAGAAGAGAUUCUCCAAACACACCUCUUACAAUCAAAACUGAAAGAAAACCAUUUUUGUAAUCUUGAAACCAGAGCACUUAGUAGAAGAUAAACACUGAUGAGGGAGAGAAAAAAACAACAAAAAAGGUGAGCCACUCACUGAAAAGGAAUAUCAUCAAUUAGAACAUCACAAAAACAGAACAAGAACAAAAAUAUAAUCACCACCCUACCUCUCUGUCUCUCCACUUCCAAUUCACUUCUUUUUUUUCUUUUCUUUUUUUUUCUCUUCAGUUCUCUUUCGACAUGUGUUUCAGUCCUGAUUAUGGUGGUGGUGGUGUUGAUUGCAAGUGAAUAAAGGAUCAGAGAAAUAGAUUAAAAUAGAAAGAAGAGAGAGAGAUUAAUUAAAGAGAGAAAGGCUUUGUAGGCUCAGCCAAUGGGAAGUAACAGAGUGUUUCAGAUUUAGUAUGUUUUAAUUAUCUAAUGUUGUUAGGACUAGACAUAAAUGGCCUUUGUUUUUGUUUACUAUUUACCAAAGGAACCUUAAUUUAAUAUCGAAAGAUGAUAGAAUUUUGGGGGCAGCCCUUGCUUUUCAUAUGGUUUUAAAAUUGUCUUAUUUAUUUGGGGUACCUAAACCCAACAGAGAGGAACAUAGAUGAGUCCUAUUUUUGGAAGUAAAUAACGACAGGAUUUUUGUGAAUAUGAAUACCCCACAAAUAAAAUGGCCUUAUUAACCAUUUUGUUGGCCCAGGAAUACAAAUGCAGGAUGGAGUUUCUUUUUUUCUCAAUGGAAGGUGAAGAAAGUAUGGGAAAGUGUUAAACAUUGGAACUUCCUUUUCAUUAGCCAAAAAAGGAGCGAGAACAUCUCAAUUAUUGUUGCCUUGGCAGAAUAUUGCAUGGAAGAAAAACAUAAAAUUACUUUUUAAGGUCUUCGUCAACUUCAACAUUAUUUAGGUAAAUUCAAUAUCUUUUAUCCAUGUUUAUAGUAUUUCAUAAUUGUGAAACAUUAAAAUACCAUGUUUAUAACACUUGAAAGCUAUUAGUUGAACUUUUUACACCACUUGCUCAAGUAAUUCACGUAUGAUCUUAAGUUCCACAUUUGAUUUAGUUUGAGAAUUGAAUUUAUCAUAUUUCAUCAAGCCAUCAGCUUGUUAAACUAAAAUGGACUUUUCACCAAUAAGAAAAAUGAUGUCACCCUUGUAUCAUUCCCCAAACUCAUACUAUCCCUCACUUCCAUCCACAGUUGUUCACCCAUUAAAUGAACCUUCAUUUAGAAAGUUUUACCCUUGGAUUAAUCAAUAAAAUGUUGUGAAAUUCAUGAUAAGAAGCGAAGGCCAUGCUCUCUUUAAUGUUUGAAGAGUAGAAAGUUGUUGGUUUUGUUAAAUAUACUUAAAAAGUAGUAUAUUUUAAAUUGUGAGUUAAAAUGAAAGUGAUGCAAAGUAAGUUAAAAAGUGGUGGGAUUCUCCAAAAUCUCCCUGUAUUUUGUUUGUCAGUCACGAGCAUCCUUAAUGAAUGUAUCUACACAAUCCUCUUUCAUUUUAAUGAAUAUUCUUUUUCAGAAUUAAAAAUCGUUUUAUUUUUCAAUAUAUUUACUAGAGAGUAAACACAAUAAUUAAUUUUCUGCAUUUUAUAACCACAUUAAUUAUAUAUUUUUGGUGUGGAAAUAUAAUGCAAUCACAUUCAUCUUUUUUGUGUAUGUUGCUUUGACUAAUAUCUCGAGUAUUGAAAUUUUGAUGGGAAGAGAUGAGAGUCAGGUGGAAUUCUAUAAAAGGUUUUAUACAAUGUGUUUCCCUUUUUAUGGUAGAUUUCAUCUUUCUGCUUCUCAUUUCUAUUCAUUCCCAUUUUUCUAUCUCCAAACUCUCUCUCUCUCUCUCUUAUUGAUUUUAAAACAUAUGGUGAUAUAACUCUUAAAUGGUAGAUUAUCAUUUAGUUUCUUAAAAUUUUAUUAAAUUACAUGUUAAUGUAGUGAUAAAAUUGUAAUUUAACCUCUUACUAUCAUUCCCUAAAAUAAUUUACUGAUUUCAUCUCUAAUGACAUGCACAUUUUCUUCUUUAGAAUUUGAUAAAUAUUUUAUAUGUUUUUUUAAUACGGAAAAAUGUUAAACCAUAUAAAAUAUGUGUUUAAUGUCAAAUUAUUUAACAUAAAUGAUGAAAAUUUUUUUGUACAUUUCAAAAAGUAAAAGAAUAAAGAAUAGAAGUGAUCAAAUUAUAGGAAAUAGACUAAAUCCACAAAAAUUAUAUAUACAGUAUAGAUAUUUUUUUUUAUUUUUAUCAAUUUAAACUUGUAUCAUUUAAAUAUUAAAUUAAAAUUCUCCAAAUAAAUCUUAAAAAUAUUGAAUAACGUCUCUUGCUGCAUUGCUUGACCCUAUUGAUAAAACUAGGCCUGAUCUUGAGGGUCGUCUGGAUAUGUAGUCGUCCAGGACUCAAAACUGAAAGAGGUUUAAAAUAUUGUUUUUCAAUUUUUAGGGAGCCCAAAAAAAUUUAACUUUUAAGCAUUCAAAAAUUUUUUUACCAACUUUUAAAGAACAAAAAAAAGAAAACUCUAACUUUUAAGGAACCUAAAACUCUAUUCUAUUAUUUUAGUUAGGGAUCCAAAAAUUUGAAGAAAAGUGAUAUGGAGAAAGAAAUUACUGUGCUAAUAUUCUAUUACUCCCAAGCUUUGGAGAUUACUGAAGUAAAAACAUUAAUGGAAGUGGGGUGGAGUUCAAGGUUGUUUAAUUGUUUAUGCAAGCAAGAAGUAUAGAUCAAAGCAAUCCGUAUUUUUAUUUAUUUUUGGAUCUUGACCGAUUUGAAAUUGGGUUAUUAGGGCCAAAAGUGGCAUUUCAUACGCUUCUCAACAAAAGUAAACCACAUUAUUUCACGUUCAGAAUUUAUUUAUAUUUAUUUUUAAUGAUUAAUUAUUCUUAGUGACAUGUCACAACCCACUGUUAAUAUUUAAAUUUAUAUAAUGACAAUAUAUAAACUACAAACUCAAAAAAUAUAUAUAUUGAUUUUUUUGAAUUAUAAAGUAAAGUUCGAACAAUUAAUGUGACUUGAAUCCAAGCCACACCUGGGGCUGUGAACACCAUUGAUCAUCAAGUCAUCAUAUGGGGUUCAAAAAAAAUUGAUUAAACCAUUAGUAUAAUGAUAAAAUCUAUUUAGGUACAAAUUAAUUCGUGAUAGUUUAGAAUUUUUGUUUACAUCUAUAAAUAUCUGUCUUGGUAAAUAAUUGUAUACAUUCAAAUUUCCCUAUAACAGUCUCAUUUAUUUAUCAAAAUUAUAAAUGCUAUAAAGAGGUAAUUGUUAUACAUUUGUAAUAGCAUUUAAGGCGCACUUGCAUAUCUUUUAAAAUUUAAAUCAUAUUUAAAAUUUUUAAAUCUUCAAAAUAUAUUAUUAAUUUGUAAGAAUUAAAGUAUAUCUUUAAUAAAAUUACACAUAAUUUCAUUUAUUAAAGUUUAUUUUUAUUUAAUAAAAUAUAAUUAAUAUACUUAUAUAAAGUUUAAUUAUUGUAUUGAAAUAAUAUUUAACUAAAAUUUAUUAACUUUAUUUUACUUAAAGAUAGAAUUAAUUUAUUAAAGUUAUUAGAGCGAUAUUGCUAUUAUAGAUGAAAAAUUAUUAUAAAUGGUAUAUAAAAUUGAUUAGUGUAAUAAAAUAUCAUUAUAGAUAAUGAUAAUUAUAGAGAUGUGAUCGAGAUUAUUUAAACUAAAAAAAUGGUUAAUAAAUAAUUGGCUCCUAAACUUGUUCAUUUGUAUCUAGUUGGUCCUUAAGGUUUUUCUGGACUUAGUUGCUCCAUGAAUUUGUAUUCUGUUAAUUAGGCUGGUACCUCCACACUAACACUGUUAGUUGUGCUGACAUGGCAUUGCUACCCAAUUUGGUGGUGCCAUAUGACAUUCUUCUAGUGUGCUACGUGGCAAACAUAAAUUAAAAAAUAUAAAAAUAUAAAUUAUGUUUGUCACGUGGCAUUCUAAGAGGUUGUCAUAUGGCACCACCAGAUUGGCUAGAAAUGAUAUGUCAGCACAAACUAAUGGUGUUAGAAUGGAGAGACCAACUUGGUUGACGGAAUACAAGUUCAUGAACCAAUUAGGUCCAAAAACUUAAGACCAACUAAGUACAAAUGGACAAAUUGAGGGACUAGAUUAUAUAUUAUCCGAAAAAGUAAGCAUUCAGGAAAUUUCCUCUAAACAAAUAUUUUUAAUGAAAUUGCUGCUUUUUAUCCUUAAAGAAAAGGGUUUAGGUAAGCAUUGCAUUUUUUAAAGUUAAAAAAAUAUUAUAAGUGGUAUUUAAUGUUCCUGAAAGAGGGGACCAUUAGGAGCCACGCGGCGAUAUACAGCUUAAAGAGAGGGACUAGAGAUUAUAUUUUAUGGACCCCAUGUUUAAUAAGCGGGUCCAUAUUUAAAAAUGCGAAAUGACAAUAUUGGCCCUUGUUUAAUUAUUUGAUUAAAGGUAGGCUUGUGAAAUAAAUACCCCUUUGAUUAAAGAUUGUCUCUGUUUGUGCCUUGACUUGAGCUGCUUGCUUGCUUGCUUGCUUUAUUUAUUAUUGUUUCUUGCGGAGUUCUUGGAUGGCAAUCCAGUAAGCAACAAAUUUUCCAAACUUAAAAUAAAAGGCAAGAUAGGGAUGACACUGGUUUUGAUUGCAAUACAAAUUUUAAAAUACGCUAAGCUGUACAUCAGAACUUAUAUUUUUAAUUAGAUUUGAUUAGAUAUGUUGAUAAUGUGUCAUCUUUGUGGCACAAUUGGUUGUUAAUCAUGACAGAAAAUUGAAUUGAAGGUAGAAUUAUAUGUGUUUAAAUUGAUGACUUCAACCAUCUGUUUCACUGAUAUUUCUAUUUCUUCAAACAAUGAUAAGAAAAGAGAAUAAUGGGGAACCAACACACUUACUAUGAUUAUAUUUACUAUUCUUUAUAUGCAAAUAAUAGCAAUACUAGAAUAAGACUUUAAAAUCUCAAAAAUAUUUGAUGUUGCUAAAUUGAGAACAAAUUUAUUUGUAAUCCAUUGUCGGUAAAAGUGGUGGGUACUAAAUGCAUUCAAAAGAGUACCGAAUAAUAGAAGGCCUACUCCUUUUGUGUAAGUAAAAUCUCCAUCCUCAAUAAUGGGGUUGAGCUUCCCUUCCAAUUAAGGAACUUAGCCAAAGAAAAAGAAAAUGGAAUAAUUCUAAUAAAAAACCCUCAUAGUCAAUUCAAUGUUUAAUUUAAUGAAUAAGCAAAGUCCAAAACAAGUUAACGGUGAUUAAUACAUAUUAAAAUAGUCACUUUUAUUUAUCUCAUGUUACAUUUUAACCACUUAUGUUUGAAAUGUUAAGUUUUAAUCAUUUACAUUAUCAUCUUGUAACAUUUUAGUCAUUGAGCCGUUAAUUACCGUUAAUAGUAAGCUGAUGUGGCACGUUGAAUCAUUAUUUCAAACGAAAAUCUUAGGUUAAAUUCUACAAUAGGUCCCUAUUUUUUUUUCAUUUUGGGCAAUUUAAAUUUUUUCUUUUAUGUUCUUUUCUUUUUCUUUCUCCCUCUGCUUUCCUCCCUCCUUCAUUUGUUUUAACGUAGUUUUUUUAUGUCUGUUAUUUGUUAAAACUAGUUCACAAGCUUACCUCACUCGAAAAAAUUAAAUUAUUCAAAAGAAUAAAAAAGUAUAAGGACUAGUUCAACAAAAUAGAAAACAUAGAAAAUUAACUUAAAACAAAUGGAUAAUAGAGGAAAACAAAUGGAGAAGUGAAAAAUAAAAAAAAAAGUUAAAAGAACAUAAAAGAAAAAAAUUUAUUUAAAACGAAAAAAAUAUGGGGACAAUUAAUGGCAAUUCACUGUUAUACUAUUAACAGCAAUUAACGGUUCAAUAACUAAAAUGAAGCCUAAGAAAAACAAAAAUAAUUAUUUUAAUAGUUUAUCCUACAUAUAAUUAUUAUAAAAAAGAGGCUGAUGUAUAUAUAGAAAAGAAUAUAAGAAGGGGAUAUGUUAUUCUAAUCUCCUAAAGUGAUUGUUAACUUAAUCUUGCAUUGUUUAAUGUAAUUGAAGUCACUAAAUGACAAUGCUGAUAGAGUGGAGAGAAAAAGCACUUUUGAAAUUGUAGAUUUUCAGAUCAUGAAGCAUUUUCAAAGGAGCAUUGUCCCAAAAAGAUGUGAAGACAAUGACCCUCAUUAAUCAAAUACGUGCCAUGUGACAUUCUGGGCCCACCAAUUCACAUUAAUUAUUUUAAUUUGAUUUAUGAAUCAAUUUCAAAUGACUAAAACGAUGUAUUAUUUUUUCCCUUGAUGUCAUCACCGCCAAAACAAACGCCCCAAUCACUUUUUAUUUGCAUUCAUGUAAAUUUAGUAUAAUUUUGUAAUAUUAUUUAUAAUAUUAUUUUAUUCGUCUAAUUUUUAUUCAUAUAAAUUAUGCAUGUCAAGUCUAGAAUAAAUUAUUUUUUUAAUAUUUUUAGGAAUAACGGCGUCUUUGGAUAAGUGUUUAUUUCUAUUAUGGCGUUUAGAUUAAAGGUGAGUAUUUGAUCAAGUCGAGUCAAAAAAUUUCGAAUUAGUCGAAUUGACGAAUCUUACUUUAGCAACAGAAAUCAAUUUGAAUUUUUUUAGAAUCGAAUCAAGUCAAAUUGAGUUGAGUUAACGAAUACUAUUAUUUAUACUCAAUGUUACGUUUGCAUGGAUCGAUUGUUUAACUAGUAGUUGAAGUACAUGACUAUUUAUUUAACUACAUAAACAAUAUAAUGGUUUUGCAUUUUAACUUAAUGGAUAAACAUUUAUCAAGACAAUAUAAUUUUGACUUUUAACUUUAGAAAAAAACAAUUAUUUAUCAAAAUAACGUAGUUUUGUCUUUUCUUAUUCGGAUUUUCGAAUAACUAUAAUUAUGCAAGUCAUAUUCGAGUUAAACUGAAAAUUUUAAUUUUUUAUUCGAGUUUAUCAGAAUAAUUUGAUUAACUUGAAUAACUCAAACUAUUUAAUUCAAAUUUUAAAUUUUUUAUAGAGUUUUUCGAAUAUAAUCAAAUUUUGCUCACCCCUAAUUUAGCUUUCUUUGCACCGUCCAUCCAAAAGGGACUCUAAGUUGUAUAAGGAUGAUAUUAAAAUAUAUAAUUUUUAGGCAACAACAAUAAAAUAUUACGUCAUCAACUUUUAAUUCUUUUAAUUUUUAGGCAGGUAAUUUUUUUAAAAUUUUUUAAUUUUUAAUCAAAUUUCAGAAUUUGUUAAAACUUCUAAUGGUGGUUGUAAUUUUUCAAAUUUUGAUUUUUUACUAGUUUUUCUUAGAAUUUUAAUAGUUGAUUUUAAUUUUUUUUUAAAUUUGUGUUUAUGAUUUUUAUUAGUUUCUUUUUUAUAAUUUAAUUAUUGAUUUAAAUAUUUUUGUUUAUAUUUUCUAUGGCAUAUAAUUUCAACAUUCCCCAAUUUUUUUAAUUGUUUUAAUUAAAGUUAAAUUAAGUAAGAGGUGACGUCGUAUGUGAUUGAGUAUAAAAUAAUAUAUCUAUGUCUUUAAAAAUUGAUGAUGUGAGAUUAUUUUAUUAGUACCUAAAAAUUAUAUAUAUUUUAAGACCAUCUUAAUAUAAGGUUUUUUUUUAUAUUAUAUACAAUAUUUCAUAUUGAUAUAAUAGAGAUAUUAAAUCAAUUCAAAAAUUUAUAUACAUUACUAAUAUUUAUACAACUAUAUUUUAUAAAUUCAACAAUUGAAUGGUCAAAACAUUAAUCAUAAAAACAUAUAAAUUUUUUAAUAUAUAUUUAAAUUUAAUUAAUUCGUACCGAGUUUGUGUACUACGUCAACACAUGUGAUUGUAAAUAUAGUUUAGCAAAUGUGCAGCAUAAAUUGUAAAUAUAGUUGAACAUUCAAACGGUGGCAACUAAAUUAGGUGAUUUCAUAUUGACAAUCAUACUCUCUCACCUACCUUUUCCUAAUUUCGUUUUUUAAAUAUAAUACUUUAAUAAAAUAAGUUUUCUAUCGCUUCAUUUUCUCAUUUCGAUUAGUUCAAACUAAAUAAUAAUAAUAAUAAUAAUAGAUUGCGGAAUGCUUUCUCAAUAGAAACAGAACCAGACAUGUGUCCAUGUUUGGACAAUUGGAAAUGAUGAUUACAUUUAGACUAGGGAGGCGUUUUUACUUCUUUUCACUUCCUAUACGGUAUAGUAUACAUCAGAUAUCUCUCAAUUAUGGCGUGUGUGUGUGUUAUUUUUUUAAUAAAAAUUCUCAAGAUUAGGAAUCGCGUCUCCUGGUGGUAAAAAAACUUCAGUGGUAGAAAACACACACUUUAUGGGAUAAAAGUAAAUUAAUGGGGUACCUGCCGACCAUAUCUAACACGACAGUGGGGACACGUGGGGAGGGGUGUUUUCACUUUUUGCGCCGGUAAAGGUUAAAACUUUUGUUUGCCAACAAAUUGUUGGGACAAACAAACCAAAUCCCCCCAAAAGGUUGAGCUUGAUAGAAUACGACGUUACUUCAUCAUCUCUUUCACUUUAAUUAUGCUCUCCUUCCUUUAUAUCCUUAAUCUGCAAGUAUAGUUGCAUUGCACUCUUCUUUUUUACUUCAUUUAUUUUUUUAAUUUCAUUGCAAAUAAAUUUUCGCCAUCGUCAAGUACAAAUCUAACAACCCAUUCCAUCGAAAAUAACAAUAUCAUGGGGCCAACUCUUACUUUUUCAAAUGGCAAAAACAUAGCCGAAUUUAUAAUGUGAAAUCAAUAAUAUUUUUGCAGACUUUGAUGAAAUAGUAAUCCCUAUGCUUAUGAUGUGAUUCAACUUUUUUUUAUUUCUUAUUAUCUCUGCUCACAUAUCUAAACAUCAAAUUAAAAUAGAAUUCGGCUCCUGGAUUUGAGGUGGAGGAUCCUUCAACCAUAUCUUCAUUUAAUUGCAUCAAACAUCUUUAUUUUAUGAUUUGGUCUCACCAACUUUUAAAACCUCUUCAUUUCGAAUUAUUGAUAUCAUAUCAAUCAAGUCCUUCAAUUAUUAAAAUUUUUAAUUUAAUUGUUAAAUAUUAUGUGAUGUAAUUUUAAAAAAUUUUAAAAAAAAGUAAAAACUAAAAAUAAAAUAAAAUCGAAAAAGAGGAAUUGAGCGAUAAAGCUUCUACAAAAAUACUUUAAAAACCUCAAAAUCAAGAUUUUUAUUAUUUAUUUAAAAAAAAACUUUUCAUUUUAAAUUAUGUCAUAUAAGAUUUAAUAUUCAUUUAAUGAUUAAAUUGAUAAAUUAAUAUAAUUUUGAUAAAUAAAAAAUAUAAUUAAAUUAUUUUGUAAUAAAAUGAUGGUUAUAAUUUGGAGAUGUAUAAUGCGAAUCACUCUUUAAUUAAAUAUAUUUAUCUACUAUUUGUGCAGGAGUAAAAAAGUCGUACGCACAACACAUUUUUGCUCAUAAAAUCACUAUGGCCAGUCUAGUCUACCCAUUGAAUUAAUUUUAUAUUUUUAGCGUAAGGACAUUAUACACCCAAAUUCAAGGACAGAAUUAAGAUUUUUUAAAUGAAUCAUAAAUAUAUAUUAAUUAUGAUAAUUAAGUUAAAAUAAUAAGCAUAAAUUUUAAUUUAAAAACGAAAAUAAAAUCGUUUAAGAACCAUAAACUUAUAUAUGUCUAUAUACAAUAUUAAUGUUUAUGAAUACAUGUGAAUUUUAGAAAGCCCCUAUAUUUAGGGGUAUAUUGCAUUUCGACUCCUCUAAUAAAAAUUAAUUAUUAUACAUUUCGAAACGUGUAAAUUAACACUUCUUUUAAAUUUUACUUGUUAAAUGAUAGCAUGACAUGUUAAUUUAAAUGGUUAAUUACUAAUUUAGUUCCUGAACUAUAGUUAAAAUAUCAUUUUGAUUUUUAAUUUUUUUCCUAACAAUAAUUCUAAAAAAAUUAAAAAUCUUAAAAAUAAAUAUAAAUUAUUAAAAUAUAUUACAAAUAUUAAACCAUCAAUUAGUAAAAGCAUCAACUAGAUAAAAUAUGUAAUUAAAUCAUGGAUGAGUUCGGUGAUAUUGUGCUCUGCAUUGCUCUCUUACUUGGGUGGUGGCUCAUCACAUGUGUUGUGGUUGUUGUUUGAGACCUUUGGAGGAGUGAUUUUUGGGUGCUCUUGAAUUGAAGGGCUGGUGCUGAAAGGAGGGGGUGUUACGUGGUUUGAUAAGGUUUUUUCUUCUGAUGGUGUUAAUGAUUUUACUAUUUACAGCCGUGAUGUGUUUUACUGUGGAAAUAUAAUUUGGAGUUAUUGGGUAGUUUCACAAAUUUCGCGUCAGUUUCAAAAAACAAGACAAAAGUCUUAAUUACCGAUGGAGUACGGACCAUUGUUGACAAUUCUUUUUGUUUUUUUCUCUAAAACAAAUACAGAUAAAUACAAGCUAUACCAUACACGUACUCAUAUUUGAUGACAUUGAAAUGUUAAAAUGCAUUAAGAAAAAUUAAAAGUAUAAACCAGUCCUUGAAGAAUGGAAAUGCUCGGGGCAUAGAAACUAUCAAUUAUAUAUAUAAAUAACAUUUAAUACUCAGCAAAAAUUUUGAAUUUCGUUAGAAAUUCACAAAUCUUUUAUAAGAGUUUAAUAUAAUAUCAGAAAAAGAGAUACAUGGUAAUUUUUUAAAUUGAUUGUGAAAUAAAAAAAAUUUAUUAGUGUAUCAAAUAUUAACUUAUAAAUAAAUUAAUUUUUUUGGAUAAUUAUUUUGUACACUACCAUUUGAGUAAAAAAACUUCGCAAGCAAAUAGAGAUUGUUGCCAUUUACUUUUAGAAUAUAAUAAAAUAUGGUUAAUAUUUGAUAGACUAGUGGCAUAUAUAUAUUUUUUAUUUUACAAGCAGCAUUAAAAAUAUUUUACUAUAUCUUUAUAAGAUACUUGUUGACCUUUUAACUCUGCUUGUGGAGUCUAAAAACUUUGAUAGUGCACUAAAUAUUUUCCUAUAUAAUAAUAACAUAAUGAUUAAAAAAGACACUCAACAUCAUCCUAGACUCGCUUGUGGAGUUUUUUUUACUCUACUAACCGUGGACAGAAUAAUUUGUCAAUAGAGUGGUUAAACUCCAUAAGUAAAGUCAAGAGGUUAACAAAUGUUCUAUAAAAAUAUAAUAAAAAAUAAAUAUUAAAAAAAAGAGACAUGGUAAAUUUUUAAAAAUAUUUAUGAAAUAAAAAAUAGUAAUCUUUUUAAAAUGUGAAAUUGAGGUUUUUUAAUUUUUAUUUUCUUGGUGUCUCGCCUUCAUCCACAUAUCCUUUUCCCUUCCCUUUCCUUUUCUCGUUACCUUUUUUCAUGAAAGAAUAAUAAGGCUUUCCUUCUUGCUUUCGGUGUUUGGAGCCCUGCCACCGUUCUGCUUCUUACAAAAUAUGCAGGGGAAAAGCAUAAUAAGAAGAAAAAGGAAUUACUUCUUUCGAGCCAAAUUGUAAAUGAUAAAAGAUACAAGUAUGCCCACUUGCGUAGUGGUCAUUCAAUUGCGAAAUUGUAAAAAUAAAUUAUUAUUUAAAUUCCUCCUACUAUAUUUUUCCUUAGUAACUAGGUAUUAUUAGCAUUGCAUCUUAUUAUCUUUUUCGUAGAUAAAAAGGGAAAAGAGCUACAUCUAGAAAGAAAUAAAACUCCACCAUCCAAUUUUCACGUUAAAUAUUAUUCUUGUCAUGAUUGCACUAUCUUUCGAGUUAACUGUUACUCCCGACUUCUUCAAUUCUUUAAUUUUUCUUUGAUAUUUAUAUUCAUUUCACACUAUCAUAGUUUUUGUUUUAUCCACAUUUAUUUCUCUUAAAGCAAUAAUAGUUUUAGUUUUAGUGUUUGGUGUUUAGUGGCGUAUAUAUGGGAUGUGUGAAUGCCUUAUUAUGAUGGAUUUGUAAGAUCUAAUAGAAACAAUUCUCAUAGAGUUUUACAAUGAUAGAUCACAAUGAUGGUGUUCGUAAAGUUGGAAUAUGAGAUGAUGGUGCAAAGAAUGAUAGACCAUAUGAGAUAUUGCCUUUUAUGAAUCACUAAUACGGUGGAUUUCUUGGAGAUCUUGCCAAUAAUUUUUUGAUUUAUUAGAAUUCAUCAUCGAGGAUGGCAAAACUAUAAUGUAAAUUUUAGUAAUUUAGUCAAGAUAAUGUGUUUUUUUUUGUUCGUUUUUUAAUUCUUCAGGUUAAUUUUAUCUUUCUUUUAAGUUUAAGAUUUAGAGUUGGCAUAGCGUUACUCCACGCAGGAGCCUUCAUACUCAUUCAAGUGAUUUGGCAGCCUAAUAUGGCAUGGUUCCUACAAUACUCCCACCGAUUCGAAUAGUAAGGUGUGUAGAUUCGACAUGCACGAUUUCGAUUUUCCAUGUGACACUGCCGGUAUGUAGUCUUGUUGUUCAACUCUCUUCUCUCAGCUUGAUGCGAGACAAGAGGAUGUGUUUGUUAUCCUUUUUGUAUUAAUUCUUGUUUCAUUUCGUUCGAAUACUAAAGCACUGUUUACAAUUUAUUUUACAAAUAUGAAAUCUGAUCCACUUUUACAAUACAGUGGCAAAUUUGCGUAAAAGAAAAAUGUCAACAUCAAUUAACAAAAGUAAAAUGUUUGAUUAAGAAUCAUUGUGGAAUAAAUAAAUAAAUAUGAUCACAAUUUGAAUAAAAACGAAACAUACAAUAAUACAAUAAUAAUGAAAACAAACACACAUACAACAGAAGCAAUAAUAAUAAAAAUAAAAUAUUUACAAAAAUGAAUAUCUGUUAUUGUUCAAUGAUCAUCACUAUUAUCAAUAUUAUUUAAAAAGAACCAUGUUACAUUAAAUUCGUAAAAAACAAAGAAGAAGAAGAAAGACUUGUUGAAACUGGGUCUGAAUUUGGUUAGACCAUUUUUGUCCAAAAGUGAAAAUGAAAUGAAAAUUAUGGGCCGAUUUGGACUCGAAAGUCGAAACCCCUCGGUUAAGAUGUAACCCAAUAAGACCCAGUUGAUGAUGAUCUCUUUUUAUAUUUUUAUUAGAAAAUGAGACUUUUAUUAAAAUUCACAUAAAUUUAGAUUUACAAAAUAUAAUCUGCAACUGUAAACCUUUAAAAAAGAAAAUGAGUGAAUUGAAUUGAUAUUCACGUUGUGUUAUUCUUUUAUUUAAAAAUUGAGACGAGGGAUGAUAAUUUUAAAUAUUAUAUGAACUUACUUUCACAAUUUAAUUAAAUUUUAAAAAAUAAAAGGUAAAUUUUUUUAUUUAAAAAAUAGAAAAAAACCCAACAUAAUAUGUAAAAAGUUGUGUGACAGCAAUAGAAAUUAUACAAAGAAAAUAACAUUAUUAAAUUAAAAAAAAUUGCAAACAAUGGGAUGGGGUCUAAAGGAGACCCAUUUUCUGAGUCCUCCCCAAAUUCCGAAUUUCAGACUUUGAUCGCGAUAAUACCUUGUUUCUCCAUUAAAGGUCUCUCAAUCAGCUAUCUCGCCUUCUGCCUUGUUCACUUCGCCCAUUUCCUCUCCACUCAUUCGUGUCCUCUUAAUCUUAUAUCACAAUCAGACCCGAGGCUACCACCACUAUUCCAACACCUUCCUUUGCCGUUAACCCACCCUUACUCCCACUCCUCUACUUUGCCCGUCUUCAAUAGCCCAACUUUAGGGUAUGUUGUUUUUUUUUUUUUGGUUAGUUCGCCUCUCCCUAUUCUUUUUAAGUGUUUUUAAUUUUCUGUCGAAUUUAGGUAGAAAUAUAUCAUUAGUGAUAUUGAUUUUGGUAGGCGAAUGGAACUCUUUGUUCUAGGUUCAGGCAUAUCUGUUAAGACUUAAACUUGAAUUGGUUGAAUAUAGUAUAGUCUGUUCUAUGGCUUAUCUUUAUUGUUUGAGAUAUUGCUGUCUUUUGUUAUUUAGUAUUUUAUAUGAUUCUGUAUUGACUCGGCAUGAAUUACAUCCGCAUUUUAGGUGCUAUCCCUUUGAAAUCAUUCAGUCCAAGGUUUCUAUUGUCACCGCUGUGGGUUAUCUUUACAAUGUUUUAUGGUAAACUAAGUUUGAGGGAACACUAGAGAUAAAAUCAUAGUGUAUGUGGAGUGGAUCUGAAUUUUCUUCUUAAGACGAUGGAUUCUAGCAUUGGCACCAGUGAUAUGAUUUUAGCAUCACACCGGGAAUUGGAAUUUGAAUCACAUGAAGCUGCUUAUUCAUACUACAAAGAUUACGCCAAGUCUGUGGGCUUUGGUACUGCUAAAUUGAGCAGUCGACGGUCCAGGGUGUCCAAGGAAUUUAUAGAUGCUAAAUUUACAUGCAUAAGAUAUGGAAAUAAGCAACAGUCUGAUGAUGCCAUUAAUCCUCGGCCUUCUCCAAAAAUUGGUUGUAAAGCAAGCAUGCAUGUGAAGAGAAGGCAGGAUGGAAAGUGGUAUGUUUAUAGUUUCAUAAAGGAGCAUAAUCACGAACUUUUGCCUGCCCAAGCACAUUUUUUCCGAAGCCACAGAAAUGUUGAUCCACUUAAGACUGAUGUUGGAAGGAAGCGGAAGAAUCUGGCUUCAGUUUCUAAACUAUUUAGUGCGUAUCAAAAUAUUGACUUUCUGGAAGGUUAUAUGAGAAACCAGCAUGAUAAAGGACGGAGUUUGGUUUUAGAAGAGGGAGAUGCUCAAGUACUUCUUGAACUUUUAAUGCAUAUGCAGGAAGAAAACCCAAAGUUUUUCUUUGCAGUUGAUUUGAAUGAAGAGCAUCGAUUGAGAAAUGUAUUCUGGGUUGAUGCCAAAGGCAUGGAAGAUUUCAGUAACUUUGGUGAUGUUGUGUCUUUUGACACUACAUAUUUCACGAACAAGUAUAAAAUACCUUUGGUACUCUUUAUUGGAGUCAACCAUCAUAUUCAACCCACAUUACUUGGUUGCGCUUUGAUUGCAGAUGAAACAGUUUAUACUUUUCUUUGGCUGAUGCAAACAUGGUUUAUGGCAAUGGGGGAACGGGCUCCGCAAGUGAUGCUCACUGAUCAGAACAAUGCCAUAAAAGCAGCUGUGGCUGCUGUGUUUCCUACUACACGCCAUUGUUUCUGUUUAUGGCAUGUGUUGGAAAAACUUCCCAGGCAUCUUGAAUAUCUAAGCUUGUGGCAUGAUAGUCUAAUGCUAAAACUUGAUAAAUGUAUUUAUCGGUCUUGGACUGAGGAUCAAUUUGAAAAAAGGUGGUGGAAGAUGGUUGACAAGUUUCAUCUUAGAGAGAUGCAGUGGGUUCUGUCUUUGUACGAAGAUCGCAAACGGUGGGUUCCUGUCUUUAUGAGGGAUAUAUCUUUUGCUGGAUUAUCUACCGCUUUACGCUCAGACAGUUUGAGUUCUUCAUUUGACAAAUAUGUGCAUGGAGAAACAUCGUUGAGGGAAUUUAUAGAGCAUUAUAGAGUAAUCCUUGAGGACAGGUAUGAAGAGGAAGCCAAAGCUGAUUUUAAUGCAUGGCAUGAAACUCCUGAGCUGAAGUCUCCAUCACCUUUUGAAAAACAAAUAUCACUUGUAUAUACACAUGAAGUUUUCAAGAAAUUCCAAGUUGAAGUUUUGGGAGCUGCUGCUUGUCAUCUUAAGAAGGAAAAUGAAGACCAGGUGCCUGCAACAUAUAGUGUUAAGGACUUUGAAGAUAAUCAAAAUUAUAUGGUUGAAUGGAAUGAAGCUAAAUCAGACAUAUAUUGCUCAUGCCGCUCUUUUGAAUACAAGGGCUACCUUUGUAGACAUGCUAUUGUUGUGCUUCAAAUGUCUGGUGUGUUCAACAUCCCAUCAAAAUAUAUUUUGCAGCGGUGGACUAACGCUGCCUUGAGUAGACUGCCAAUCAGUCAGAAAUUGGAUGAGGUCCAAUCUAAGGUCCGUCGUUACAAUGAUUUGUGUAGACGUGCCAUAAUAUUAAGCGAAGAAGGUUCACUUUCUCAAGAGAGCUAUAAUCUUGCUCUAUCUGCCAUAAAAGAAGCUCUGAAGCAGUGUGCAAGUGUCAAUAAUUCGGUUGAGAAUGAGUACAGACCUAAUACCUCAAUGAUUCGUGCUGAUUCUGGUGUUGAAAGAGUCAGCCAAUGUGUAAAUAAUCAAGAAAAAGCCGCAGACCCUAGAAUGACAAAUACGACCAAGACUUGUCAAAGUGUUGAGACUGCAUUGGUGAGGCAAAUUAAUGAGAAUAAUGCAACUAGAAAAGGAAAGGUCAGUAACCAGUCUGUUUAUAUCUAUGAUUGCAUUUUAGAACAUUUUUGAUUUAUGAAGGGAAAGGAAAGGAAAAGGUAAAUAACCAAAAAUUGCUUCUGUAAUCAGCAGGUAUCUCUUGCGGGAGCUGUCAAUGUUGGAUCACAAGAUGGCUUUCACCAAAUGGUUUGUUGUACUUUCAUCCAUUCCUCCCUCUCUCUUCUCAAUGGUGAUAAUAUGGUUUUAUUUUCUUGUAUUCUGAUGUCACGAAAUGCUUCUACAUGUGUUACUGAAGAUUUCAAGCUGAUAUUUUUGACAUUUUCCGGAAAUUAUUUGUAAUGCACUUAGUAGUCAGUUCUCAUGAUUUUAUUGCCUUAGAAUAGUGUAAUAUCUGAAGCAUAACAUAUGCAAGAAAUUGUGUUUAAUUGGGUACAUAAUAUCCUAAUAUAAGAUCAGAUAAGAACUUGGAUCAGCAUUGGAUUCUUUGGGUGAGUUUAGUCCUUAAUUUUCAAUGAGAACUUGUACAGAUGAAUCUGAUUCAUGCUGCCUGCUGAUGGCUUUUUGUGGUGCUUGUGGUUGAUAUAGAUUUGUCUUGCAGAUUGUUGGACUGGAAACAUACCAAGUGGGAUUUGAACUAUAACCGUUACUAGUUUUACUCAGGCUGAGUUCUAUGAUUUCUUAUAUAUUUAUUUUCAUUAGAUAUUUUCAGACUUGUUUGUCACCCAACUUAAUAUAAGGUCGUUAGCAUGUGUUGUUUUCAUUUGCUUUUACGAAAUCAGAGUGCAGGGAUGAGUCAUACUAGGCACAAUAUACAAUAAGAGCACUUUUUUGUACCCGUAAAAUAUGUAAUUGUUAGCUGCAUGCAGUUUUGUAACCUUAAUCUUUGUAUUGCUUGUUGCAGGAGAUGUCAGACAUGAGGCCUACGCAUUUGCAUAAUGUGAUGCCACCAACACAAUUGCAUAAUAUGGUGCCAACUAUGUUUACAAAUGUUGCAUCAACACAUUUUCAAAACGUGGCUGCUACACAUUUGCACGACAACCGACUCCAUCGGUAACUUUUGCUUUUUACCUUCAAUUUGUAAAGAUCAUGUAAAGCUACUUUAGGGUGUCAGGAAGAGCAGUUCGUGAUUUUGGCAAUUGCCUUGACUUCACCGUUACAGCUGACGAAAUUCUAAUGUUUGCCUCUGCUUUUACACAUGUAUGUUAGCUUUGCUAAUUAGAUUCCUGCUUGCCUCUAAUAUAUUAUUAACAUGGUUUGUGAUGGUCAAGUGUUGCGUUAAGCCGAUUGCAUACAGAUUUUGUCAAGAGAAAAAAAUUGACUGUGUUUUGGAGAAUUGCCUGCCACAGAGGCUUAUGUAUAAUAUUAUGUUCGACAUUGGUGACUGACAUCAGAUUAGUGCAGUGCUGCCUCUGUUAUCGAGACUUGGGAUGAGUGAUAUAUUUUAGCUUUUCUUAGUUAUUUCAUAUAUAUUUGGAAGAUCGUAUAUUCAUACUUUCAAAUCAAUCUAUCAAUGAAAAAGUAUUGGGAGUGUUAAUUUUUGUUCUUGCAAUCUAUUUCAUUGAGUGCAGGCCAGUUUUAUGGGCCGAGGAUUUCUAGCUUGCCAUGCUCGGUUAGUAAAUUUGGGCUCGGAUCCGCGUGAUAAUAAUAUUUGUAUAAAUUAUUUAGUAAAUAUUGGCUUGUUGAAAUAAAUAAUGUUAUAACAUGUGUACUUAGGAGAUAGAUCUAAUUUUGUCAAUGUGGUGUAUUUUAUAUUACUAUUGUACUAAGCUCAUAUUAGUUUUUUUUUUAAAUAAUAUCAUUAUAAGUUCGGAUCAUAUUUGUUCUUUUUCGAGAUAAUACCUUAAACUAUCUAUAAAUAGAAAGAUAAUAUAUUUUAGUGCAUUUGAAUUAAAAUAUUCAUGUCAAUUGAGUUAAGAUUCAAUUGAUUGUAAUAUAUUAUUUUAAUUAGGGUUAUAUUUAGUAAUUGUCUGCCACGGUCCCAUCAAACUCAAACCAUUUGGCAUGAAGAUAUAUAUAAGCUUUUGGGAGAUUGAAAAUCUACUGUAAGUCACGUGAAUGGAACAUGGGUUGUUUUUAACUUUGAUAUGUUCCAUGAUUCGGAUGGCCCGCAGUCCUCUUAGGGCAUCGGAAUGAUUGAGUGGUUAAAGCGUCCAGAUCCAUGGAAGAUCCCAAUUUUUGUAUGAAGUGGAGUGUAUUGAUUUGCUUGUUUUGCCUACCUAAAGGACGUAAGCAAGCAGUGAUCCCCUGUGGAGCAGACAAAGAUGGAGGUGGUUGUGCAUGGCUAUGGGACUGGCAAAUCCAGUAAACACAUCGACGUUUACUACACUAGAUAGUGACUUGGUCAUAUCUUAGCUGCCAUUGCCACAUAUAUGUGCGUGCGGCUCAACCACUUGUGUAAAUUAUUAUCAUCAAAAUAGUUAGCAAUGGAAAACUGCAUCUUUGAAGCCUAAAUUCUUCAAACAUUCAUGCAUUCGUAAAUGAAAACAGACUUUGAUAGGAUGUAACCCUGCAUCUGCAUGGCCCUACAAAUUUAUUGCCCUAGGAAAGGAUUUCUACUGUAUCGAAUUCAUGUGCUUGCAGAAUAAAGAUAAAUUAAAAGAAAGAAAAAAGUAGCUAGGAACCUAAUCAGUAUAAAAAAUCGUAUGGGUAUGAAGAAGCCACGUUGCUCAGCCACCAUAUGCUUUGAUUUAUUGUUCACACUAUACUCUCCACCUCAAUAAUAUCCUAUCCCUACUCCCCCAAAAGCUUUUCUCUUCCCCUGUCUCCGUAAGGGUAGUCAUACGAUGCUUAUCCCUUUAUUAAGAAAAUGAUUUAAGGUAAUGAAAAUGGUAAAUGUAUUCAAGAGGGAUAAUUUAAUUCAUAUACUAUCAAAAGGAAUUAAAUAAAGACAAAACUAGAAAAGAGUUAAUAUUUACUAUUUAAAAAAUAUAACUUAUUAUUUGAGGGAAUUAAUACUUUUAAAAAAUUUUAUAAUUAUGCAAAUAAAUUUUUUUAUCUGAAAGAAAAAUUUUAAAUAUUAAUUUUAUUAUAAUUUAAACUUAUUUGAAUUUUUUAAUAAUAAAAAAUAAUAAUAUUAUGUAGUACCAAAUACAAUAAAGAAAAUAUUUGGGUUAAUUAGGGUGAAAGAGUAUGUAGAUUGAAAGAUUGUAUCAUCCCUUCAUAAGCUAUCACAUCAAUGAUUAAACUUGAAAAUUUAUAUGUACACACUUGAAUUAGACCAUCGCUUGACCUGUCGCUAAUGUGAGUGAGGUGCCGCAGUUACAGCGAACGUUCCAAGCAAACUACCAUAAUGGACGUUAGGGGCAAAUUCGUAACACAAACUCCUCAUCAUUCCCGUUUAUAAAUAAACAACGUAAAACCAUGCUCACUUCCCAACCUAGUUUAAACCAUCAGACAAAAACAUCAUCCCUUUCGUAAUAAUGAAGACAGUCUUCACUAUUUUCUCGGUACUUGUAUUCACCGUAAUCUCCCCCGCCAACGGCUGCCCUCCGUCGGACCGCGCUGCGCUGCUAGCAUUCAAAGCAGCUCUCCACGAGCCUUACUUGGGCAUCUUCAACUCAUGGACGGGCACCGACUGCUGCCACAACUGGUACGGCGUUAGCUGCGACCCACAGUCACAUCGAGUCGCCGACAUUAAUCUCCGUGGUGAGUCCGAAGAUCCCAUCUUUGAGCGAGCUCACCGGACCGGUUUUAUGACUGGUUUUAUUUCUCCCGAAAUAUGCAAGCUAACUCGCCUCUCUAGUCUUACUAUCGCUGAUUGGAAAGGGAUUACAGGCGAGAUUCCUAAAUGCAUUACCAGUCUACCAUUUCUUCGCAUCCUUGAUUUGAUCGGUAACAAGCUUUCCGGAGAAAUUCCUGCUGAUAUCGGCAGGUUGAAGCGUCUCACAGUUUUAAACGUUGCCGACAACCAAUUAUCGGGGAGAAUCCCAUCUUCAUUUACCAGUUUAUCAAACUUGAUGCAUUUAGAUUUGAGGAACAAUAAAAUCUCGGGUCCAAUUCCCGGCAAAGCCGGGGAUCUCAGUAUGUUGAGCCGUGCUUUGUUGAGCGGCAACAUGAUUAGCGGACCGAUCCCGGUGUCGAUAUGCCGAAUUUAUCGUCUCGCUGAUUUGGACCUCUCGAUAAACAAAAUGUCGGGGGUGAUUCCUCCUUGUCUUGGGAAAAUGGCGGUCCUGGCGACGUUGAAUUUGGAUUGCAACAUGUUAAUGGGUACGAUACCGACAACCCUUUUAACUUCCGCCAUCGGCAACCUCAACUUGAGCCGAAACGCUUUGGAAGGUAACAUUCCGGAUGUUUUCGGGCUGACAUCUUACUUCACGGUGAUCGAUUUGUCGCAUAACAAGUUAAGGGGUCCGAUCCCGAGAAGUUUGUCGGCGGCAUCUUACAUCGGGCACCUUGAUUUGAGUUACAACCACCUAUGCGGGCGGAUUCCGGCGGGAGCACCGUUCGAUCAUCUGGAAGCAUCCUCUUUCAUGUACAACGACUGUCUUUGUGGUAAACCGCUUAGAGCUUGUUGAUGACAUGGUUAAUAAAUUUUUAUCUAUUGUAUUAUUGUAAUGUUAAUGUAAACCCUACUUAAACAGAAAUUAUAAAAUAUUUUAUUGACUCAUCAUGCAGGUGAGACAGAUUUGUUUUAAGAUUUGAGUUUUGAGUAUUUAAUGAUUGUUUUCUGCGUUUCCCAAAUAAUUUAUGCCCUGUUUUCGUAUUGAAUAAAAAUGGUUUUAUUGGUUUUUUUCCUGGCCUUGCCAUUUACUAAGCAAUAUAUUUCUUUAUUCUUGAUGUUAAGUUUUUACCAAUUCAACAAUAAAUCAUAGGAUAGACGGGGUCAACGGGCUGUGUCGUUAAACCCUAAACUUUCAGUUUUAAAUUAGUUUAGUAUUAAAAAUAGACUUUGGUCUUUUGAACUUUGAAGACGAUCAACCCUUUUAAAGUUCUAAAUUAACAACCAUAUACAAAUAUUAAUUUCUUUAAAUUUUUAUAUUUCUCUAUGAGCAGAAAUAUAAUUAUACAAUAUUGAUUAUAGUUGUAAUUAAUGAAAUUUAUAUAUGCAUUAUAAUAGGAAAAAGGUGGAUUGACAUCAAAUCUACUACAAGAUGUAUGGGGCAAAUUAGAAAGGAAGAUUGACAUAAAAAUCUCCCUUUUUUUUCUUCACGUUUUAUCCCAUCGUUUUUUACUCUCUUUCCCCAUAAUCAUGUUUUUUUUUUUCAUUUUUACAAGUUUUUCUUUUCAUUUUAAGGAGGGAAAGACAGGUGAAGAUGGAAAAAUGGGAAAAAAAAAUCAAAAUUAUUGCAGAACCCAUAUUUAAUUUAAAAGAAAAAUAAAAAAAUAAUGAAAAAAUAAUAAUUUUAUUUAAUUUUAAUAUGUAUUUGUAUUUUUAUGUAAAUGAUGACAUAAAUAAACAAAAAUAAACACAUGACAAUUUUUUAUUGAUUGAAGUGGAAUUUUUAACGGAAAUAAUAGUAAAAGCUCGUAAUGGUUACGGAAUUAUAAUUUAGAGAUCUAAUUCGAUCUUUAAGUAUCUAAUUAAAAAAAGUUUAUUGAGAAUUAAGAAAAAAUUAUAAAAAAAAAUGGUGAUCAUUAGUGAUCAAUUAAACAGGGAAUGGGUGUUUUAAUAUGUAUGUAAAGAAAGGAAGACAUUACACGUGAACGGAGGUAUAUGAUAACGACUCAACCCAGCUGCUCAUUUAAGGUCAAGUGGGUGCUCAUUUAUGCUAAAAACAUCGAAUGCUUGGAUUCCUAAUUUGAUAAUUCAUUGGAAUCAAGCUUGGUUUAUGACUCUUUAAUGCUAUAAUCUCUUUGUUUUUAUGUGUCCACAAACAUCUUUUCUCAUGCUGCCAACCAAUUCAAAAGACUAAUUACAAAGCUAAUUGAUGAUUCGGUGAAGAAAGUAAAUUUAGAGGUCAAGCAAUACCCACAUGCAAUACUCGUUCUUCUGUCGGUGAGGAUAUGGAGUGUACCAAUUUCUGGUGAGCUUUUUUAAAUAGAGAUGAGUUAUCUAUGUGGGACAAUCAAUACAGAUGAGUUGAAAUUUGUGUGGAAUUAGAAUAAUAACAUCUUUUUCCUGUCCAUAAUACUUCUUUGGAAAUAAACAAAAGGAACCCUAACCAAAAUCUAUAAUAUAAGAGCAUGUCUUAGUAAAUAUUUUAAUUUUGGUCUCACCCCUUUUCCUAUUGAUUUUUUUUUCUGUCUAUUUUUUUUAUAGAAUUUGAUGUUUGAAUUUGACAAUUUUUUUUUUACUAUUUUAGUAUUAUAACUUUCUUUUGUCCGAUUAGAUACUUAAAUUUAUUAAGUAGUAUAAAAAUUACCCCCAAAAUAUUAACGGUGUUAGUUUUUAUGAUGAGACAAAAAUAGCUAAUGUAUGACUAGCAUGCGGCAGAUGACAUGAAAUUUAAUGGUAACAAUGAUUACAUUUAUUUAGAGUUUCAUUUGUUUUGCUAAAUAAAAUGCUCAAAAAAAAUUCAUUAGUGUUGAUCAGAUGACUUUGAUUGUUAAUGGUAGGAAUGAUUCAAGAAGGACUGCGUGUUUAAAGUAUGACCUUGUCUUCAUAAACCUUUGAAUUCAACAAAAUAUCAUCAGUAUCAGAAAUUUGCGUUAAAAAAAUGUGCUUUGAGAUAUUCUUUAUGAAUAAAUAUUAAAGAAGAAAACAAGAAUUUUAAAAAUUCAAAAUUUUAAAAAUAAAUUACAUUAAAUUAAAAUUUUUAAAAAUAAUUGAGCAUUUAAAAUACAAAAAAAAUGUCAUCUACCACAUGUUGGUCAUACAAGUAUUGUUUUUUCUACCUCAUAAAAAAAAUAACACUUUUAGCAUGUUAGAGUGAUUUAUAUAAUGUUAGACAAUUUUAAAUAAUAAAUUAAGAAAAAGUGUUAAUUUCAAGUAACAAAUUAGAAUCAAAAAAAAAAUUUAAGUACUAAAUUUAAAAAAAAAAUCAAAUUUAAGUACUAAACAUGAACUCAUACCUCUAUGGUUGUUGCAGUAGUAGCAAUGACUGAGCUAAUGCUCAAUUGACAACAAAUUAUGUUUGAUGAACACAUCAAAGAGCACAAAAAAGGAACUGAAAAUACAUUUGCUCAAUAUGAAAUUACGUGUGAAUUUUUAUAUACCAACAUUUUUAUUUAACAAUAUUUUACUUAAUUUAUUUUUGCUUUGAUUGAAUGAGUAGAAGAGGGUGAUUGAAAACAAAUUUAUCAUUAUCGUUAUUAUUUAAGUAUAUUUGAAGUUGAUGGGACAUUUGCGUAAUUAUUGGAGAUAAUAUAAGAGAUAAGUUCAAAAUUUCUUUAGUGAAUUACAGGAGGAAGACAAAGCCUUAGAUAAAUUCAGCUUUUAACCAAGUGUUUCAAGUUUAUUUAAAUGUCGCAUUGGAGAGAUCUUGGAUUAGCAUAUAAAAAUUUUGUGAGGAGUUUUAGAGUGUCUCCUUUCACUGCUUUGUUAAGGUUUUUUGUUGUGUAUUUUUGUAAGAAUUAUUUAGAGAGUAUUAUGAUUUUUAUAUGAGGUUAUUUUGGGAGUGAUUGUAACCAUUGAGUUCAUUAUUAAGGUUUCAAUUAUCUAUUAUGUAAGAUUAGAUUGAACUUAAACUAACAAGUGAUUUAAAUACUUAUUGAACAAAAUCAUUCAUUGAGUAAAAUUUAUUGAUCCGAAUUGGUUGAUUUCUCUUAUUACUUUGCUCCUUUGUUGGCCCAAAUUGAAACCAAAAUGUUUCUCAGUAUCUACUGCUAAAGUUGGUUCAAAGGCCUCGUAUUUAGGCGAAGGAUUUUAAUUUUUAUUUCAAGAGUUAAUAAUAACGCAUUUCAAAUGUGCAAUAAAUGAAAUAUAUACAUGCUCAGGGUUUUUUACAAAAAUAAUAUAAAAAAAUAAAAAAAUUACCAAAAUGUUAUACAUUUUUUUUAUUUACCAAAAUAUAUAUAAUUUUUUUAUUUACCAAAAUAUAUAAAAAAACCAAAAAAACAAAAAAAAAUUUGGAUCGAUUUGACAGUUCCCUGGGUCAAGGGAACACUGUUGGCGGCACCAAACAAGGGAACCUUGUUGGCGGCACCACCUUAAAUAUUAACGGUGGUCGGUUGGUGGGGGGAAGAAGGAGAGGGGAAGAAGAAGAAAGAAAAAGAAGGAAAAGGAAAGGAGAGGAAAGAAAGAAAAAGAAGGAAAGAAAAGGAAAGGGGAGGAAAGAAAGAAAAAUAAGGAAAGAAAAGGAAAGGAGAAGAGAAGAGAAAAAAAAAAGAAAGAAGAAGAAGAGGGAAGGAAGGAAGGAAGGAAGGAAAAAAAAGAAAAUAAGGUAAUUUUUAUUAUUAAUUUAAGAUUUUUGUAAUAUUUGUGUGUUAAAAAAUAAUGUUAAGUACAUUUUACGUAUUUUAUUAAUUUAUUUAGGAUAUAUACUUUUUGAGAUAUAUUUAGCAUGAAAAAAUUAAUGAUAUGUACAUUAUAUGUUGAUUAGGAAUUUUUUUUAUGAAAUUGACUUAGGAUGUUGAAAUUAGUUUUGUUAGGAAAAUAACAUUAAAAGUAAAAUGAUAAAGAAAUAUAUUUAAGAAAACAUAAAAUACGAAAAGAAAAAACGAAAAUUAUAUAUUCACCGAAAGUAAGAAAAUGCGAAAAAAAUUAUAUCUUUAAUAAAUUGUAAACAUAAUGCACUGAAAAAGUAUAAAAUUAUAAAAUUUAAAAUGACGAUAUUUUUUAAAAUAAUAAAAUGCGGAGAGAAAAAUACGAACAAAUGGCCAAAAUAAUAGUAUAUUUCUAACUUUUUAAAAAAUUGAGAAAUAGUUAAUACAAAUAUUUUUUAAAAAAUGUAAUGAAAUAAUAUAAAGAAAUAAAAUAUAAAAUAAAAAUAUUUUUAUUGAAAAUAAAAAUCGGGAAAAAAAUACGAGCAAAUGGCAAGGAUAAGGAUUUUUUUCUUACACCAAAUAAAAAACCCGGUUUUAGUAAUUUUUUAUUUUGGUAAAUAAAAAAUAUAUAUAAUAUUUUGGUAUUUUUUAAAUAUUUUAUUAUUUUUGUAAUGUUUUAUUAUGGGUUUUAUAAAAAAAUAAUAUAAAAAAAUAAAAAAUUACCAAAAUAUUAUAACUUUUUUUUAUUGACCAAAAUAUAUAUAAUUUUUAUUAUUUACCAAAAUAUAUCAAAAAAAAGUAAAAAACAAAAAAGAAUAAAAAAAGGAAAAAAACACACUAAAUUUAUAAAUUAAUUUUACACUAAAUACACUAAAUAAUACGAGUAAAUGGCAGGGAUAAUGGUUUUUUUACAGUAAAUUAAUUUUAAAAACACACUAAAUUAAUAAAUUUAAAACAUUAUGUAAAAUUAUAAAAUUAGAAAUGAAGAUAUUUUUUAAAGUAAUAAAAUGCGGAGAAAAAAAUACGAACAAAUAGCCGAAGUAAGAGUUUUUUACUAACUUUUUUUUCAACUUGCAGGCAUCGCAAUGGCUUCAUUGAUUAGCAAAAAAAAGCCACAUAUUUGAUGCGGUUAAUAACGCGGUAUGAGUUAUUAUUUAUUAAUCACGGGUUCUAUUUAUUUAAAAAGGAUAGACGUACAAAGAAAUAAUGUUGUCGUAAAAUUUUUUCUGUAAUUUAACACUAUAAGGACUCGUACCAAGUUUUAAGGGGCCGUGUGAGUGUUUUGAAGAAUACUCCGGAUGCACGGUUGAUGCCGUACUUAGAGCUAGCCAGAUUUUGGUCCGUAGCACAGAUCCAGUACACCGUAUUGCGCUUUCAUUUAAUAUCUGCGCUAGUGGAGCGGUGGCGCCCGGAGACCCACACUUUUCAUUUUCCGUACGGGAAGUGCACGGUGACCUUGGAGGAUGUAGCGUUACAGCUUGGGCUCCCAAUUGACGGGAGUCCCGUAACGGGAAUAUCUACAUUUACCGAUCUGGAUGCACUUUGCUAUCAGCUUCUAGGAGACUCACCAGGGGACGGUGAGUCAUAUUUUUCGGGCCUAUCAUUUACAUGGCUGAAAGCCAAGUAUGGACAAUUAUCAGCGACAGCCACUGAAGGCGAGUUGAUGUGCGCUGCUCGAGCGUACAUCAUGCAUAUCAUAGGGGGAGAACUGAUGCCUGAUGCAAGCAACGACAAGGUGCAUUUGAUGUACUUGCCCCUAUUAGCUGACUUGUCCAGUGUUAGCUCCUAUAGCUGGGGCUUAGCUGUGCUAGCAGUCUUGUAUCGAGAGCUUUGUCGGGCAACAGAUCAGAAAGUUCGCGACAUUGGCGGAUGCCUCUCACUGCUGCAGUCCUGUACGCUGUAUCGGAUGCCAUUUUUGGCAUCGGUUAGACACCAAUCGUAUGUUUAUCCACUACUAAGCAGGUGAUAAAAUAUAACUUCUCGUUAUUUGUAGUCAUAAUAUAUUGAUUAAUGUUACCAACCAACUCUAAACGCUAUAUUUGUUUUUUGUAGGUGGAGUGGUCGUCCGGGUAUCGGGCAGUCGUACAAUGUCCCGCUAUACCGCUUCAUGAUUGAACAGUAUGCCCGGGAUGGGGUAAGAUGCUAUUCUAAUAGUCAUGCUAUAGUCAUAUUCAUGACAUCUUACUUUCUAUAUCUUACGCACACGUUAUGGGUAAUUAUAACCAUGUUAUUAAUCAUGCAGUUUAUAUGGACGCCGUACCGAACACCAGAAAUUACCGCCGUGGUACCCUCGUCUGCGUACGUGCAUUUGUACAUAUGGUGUACUAACGCACCAAUUAUAAAUUUUAACAUGGUUGAGUGGUAUAACGGGGAUCGGGUGCUACGGCAGUUUGGUGCAAUCCAACCUAUCUCGGAUCCGCCGUGUGAGGUGGGAGAAGUGCACGGCAAGAAUAAGAGAGGAAAAUCGGUGAUAGAUUGGGGAAUUAAGCACUGAAAAUUUGUGGCGCUGUGGAAUGAUCGAUUUCAUCGAAGACCUCAGAUGGUUAUGGCUACCGACUCGCAACCAUCAGAAGAGUAUAUGCAAUGGUACAUUAGUUGCGGGAAGCCAUAUUUAUAUGGAGGCCAGUCGGUUGUAAUCCCCCCGCACAUGCAGCGACAUGGGGGAUCGUCCACAGCGGCCGAGCGUGAUGCAGAUCCCAUGGCAUAUUAUUCUCCGGAACCACCAGAGCCCGAGCAAGAGCCCCAGCCAGAUCCGGAACAAUCUGGGUUUGUCGGUUCAGAUAGCUAUCAUCCGGAAUUGCCAGGCACUGACAAUUUGCCGAGCUUCUCAGGGCCAGAAUAUGCAUACGACUUUGAACUAUUCGGAUCCUACUCGCCCGGCCCAUAUCCGCAGCAUUAUGGGACUCCCUCAGGUGCAUCAAGUUCGUCGCUGCUGAACGAGUGACCUGUUUUUACUACACCACCACCUGCGCCAAAUGAUAAUGUCGGUCGUCGCGGGCACCCAGAACGUGACCGUCGACCUCCGAAUAGGUAUACCCUAGGACUACACCAUCGAACCAUCAAUUUUAGGGGUGUAUGGCAUAUGUUUGUACAUUAACACGUUUGUACUUUUUUGUAUCAAUUUAAUUAUUCUAAUUUAAUUAUUCUACUUUCAGUUAUUGAGGUUAUCGUUCAAUUUCUUUUUACCAAUUUAAUUAUUUUAAAGUUGCAUUAUAUUAAUGCUUAAUUUAAGGUUAUAUGCCUCAAUUUUCGAUAUAAUAUUAAUAAUUACAAACGCCAUAUACUAUUUUAUAACUUAAUUUGGAUACAAUGUAAUCAUAAUCAUUUGUAUAGUUUUUUAUAAUUACACAUAAAAAUUUUGAGUUUUUUUUUUAUUUUAAUCUUUAUAACUAAACUAAAACAAAAAAAAAUACAAAUUAUACAAAACAAUAACAAUAACAAUAACAUAAUCAAUUAUUUUUUUAAAAAUACCUGAUUUUUCUCUUCUCUUUCUCUCUUUUUCUCUUUUUUUCCGCAGCACCUCUUCUUUCUUUUCUUUUUCUUCUGAUUUUUCUUGUUUCAGCUGGACAGAGUUCGUGGAUAUAACACGAGUGGUUCCGCCAAUAGGGAACCCUUGUUUGGUGCCGCCAACAAGGAAUCCUUGUUUUGUGCCGCCAACAGUGUUCCCUUGACCCAAGGAACUGUCAAAUCGGUCCAGGUUUUUUUUUGUUUUUUUGGUUUUUUUGAUAUAUUUUGGUAAAUAAAAAAAUUAUAUAUAUUUUGGUAAAUAAAAAAAUUUGUAUAACAUUUUGGUAAUUUUUUAUUUUUUUAUAUUAUUUUUGUAGAAAACCCUACAUGCUCAACAUUAGCGAACAAAGAACAUUGUCCAAAACUUGAUGGAUUGCCUCACUGUUGAAUAAUUGGAUCUCUUGUGGGAGCCCAAUGGUAAUAUUUUUGCAUGUUUCAUAGCCUGACCCAAAGUGUAACAUAAUCACUCCCACCACCGUCGGCGCUGUAAACCACUCAGAAACAUCAACUCCAUGUCUAUAAAAACAAAAUUAGUGUAAUAUAAAAUUAAAGGUAUUCAAGUUAAUUAAUAAAAAAAACCAUGGACUCAUUAUAAUUAUACGUCUUAUUACAAUAAUAAAUUAUUUUUUUAAUGAUGUAUCAUCAUUAAAAAUGACGGAACUGAGAAUAUACCGGUUUACCAGCCCACCUAUUGGCUGCUAGUCUUUUGUAAUGAGUGGCCAUACAGGUGACAGUUGUGUCUUUAAUUACCCUGUUUGUGUAAACUUUUCUUCUUCGUAUUACCAAAAAGAAAAACUAGAUAUAAAAAAGCUUGUAAAUUUGUUAUCAUGGUCGUCAAAUGGAUUAUAUUUUGGUAAGUAAUUUGAUACCUUUAAAACGAAGAUGGUACCCUGAAUGAAGUAUUUAAUGAGGUUGAAAAGGAAAAUAUUCAACUCAACUCCAUGGUCCCUUGGCUCCUUAUUUUUAACAUUUAAAGGAGCUUUGGUGCCUUUAAAACCGACCAGAUCCCUCCCUUUUAAACAUUUGAAAAAGAGAAGUAAUCUCAUUACCUUUUUCUGCUAAAUGGUCCAAAGAUGUAAUUAACAAAGGCAGCCAUUGAAAGGUAAGAACUUUAAAAUGUUGGUUUGAACAUGAACGUUAAAUAAAAUAAUCCAAAAGGCCGGCUAGGCAUUGGACAACUCGUAUCCCUUUUUUACCCGAAGACCAAAAGAAAGCAUGGCAAUGAGAGGAAUUUGACUUGACCAAUUCAAAGCAACAAGACUAUGACAAUAUGAUGCAUUCUCGACAAUUACUUCAUCUAGACCAAUGCAGGGUCUUUGGUAAAAACAAAACAACCAACAUCAAUUCUCUCCUUCUUACACUCAAAAAAGUUUUUAUUUUGCUAUAUAAGUUAUUUGGAUUGCAAUGUAAUAUAUAUUUUAAUUACUACAACCUGUUUUGCAGCUUUGGUUCGAGGCGGAAAUUGUCAUUUUUUGAAGGGAGUCACCGGCCAUAUUCUCAGCCCUUUUAAUUCGAAUGUGAUUGAAGCAUUUGUCAUCUGAGAAGCUCUGUCGGAUUACUAGGAACUAGUAGUUAAUGGUUUACUUUGGGAUAAGGUUUUUAGUUUAAUUUGACAUGAUUAUUCUCAAUUGAAAUCAUAAUUAUGUUGUAUUAAAUUUGACGGGAUGCUAAUAAGGUCACUCGGCAACUGACUAGGGUGAUCUCCUUUCAUGCAAACCCUCACAUAUUUGAUAUUCCCCUUGCUAGUUUAUCUACAAAUAUUUCUUCUUUAACGCCAAUGAAAUAAAAAUAUUUAAGAUUGGAUGUAAAACUUAAACCUCUUAACUUAAUAUUUAGAAUCAUCUCUUUUGUUUUUCUUUUUCUUUUUUUGCCUUGUAUUUACUUUAGGGUUUUAAUGCAGUGUUAUCCUGCUUUCAAAAAUAAAAAUAAAAAUAUUUCUUUGUAAAAUUCAUAAAUUCCUUAAGAAUUUCAAUUUUUUUUAAUAAAAAGCAUCCAACAAAUCUUUAACUUAAAAAAAACAAUUAUAAAUGUAUUAUCACUCAAUUUAUAGUAUUUUCAAAAUUUAAAUUCAAGAAACAAACGUUACAUUAAUAUUUUCAUUCCAAUAAUCUCGUAAAUUUGACCUUAAUUAUUAUGUGGGCGAAUAAAAAGAGAAAUUUUGUUUAGGCAUUUAAAAUUAUUUUUGGCCCUACUCUACAAAUUUCUGUGUAGUAGGCUUAGGGCAUUAUAUUGAUGAUGAUUUUAUUUAAUCCAAUUCUUUGUAUUUUAAUAAGUGAAGUUGCAUCGAGAUUGUUCUCGAUAAAUGUUGAAGAGCAUGCAUGGGAUAUUGAGACAAAAUCCCAUGCACUCAGCUGUCAGCAUAGCACGU
rnacentral:lncRNA from 1 species